rnacentral:lncRNA from 1 species
GGAUAUGAUAAAUAGUUGCUCUGCCUAAUUUGCAAAUUUUAAGUUCUCUCUCAAGUUUAGAUAUAACUGUUAUAAUUUAAAGCUUGCUCUAGACCUAAACUUGUGGGAUGAAAACUUGUUCUGAAGUCUAAGUUGUUAACGGAUAUGAUAUGGGAAGGUUGAGCUGCUGUUUAUCUGUUCCUAGAGAUGCUAGAAUUCUGGAGAAUUUUAUCUUUGAAAAUCUUUAAAAUGUUGCAUGAUGAGUUCCUUUAUGAUGAGAGUUUAAAUUCCUACCACAGCCAUAUAUACAUGCUUGCUAGACUUUGAGCCACACAUUUAAUAUUUACUGCUUAUGAGCAUUGAGUGUGGUCAAGCUGUGUAGACCCUUAGGAGCUUGUCAUGUGGUUAAAUCAAGAUUCACUUGCACGUUCACUCAUAUAUGCUACUUCUACUCCAGAAGUACCAUCCACAUAUAUCCACCCAUUCCAUCUCCAGAAUCACCCAAAAAUAUUCUACUCCUAAUCCGGGAGAGAAUAACCAAAAAUAUUUCUAUUUUCCCCUUGUGAAAUAAAUGCUCAAGUUAUCUUGUUACUACCACUUGCUAUAUUAUCUCAAGAGAUGAAUGCUCUGAAAAAAAAAGAAAUAAAAAGAGAUACGAGGAAAUAAAAAGGAGCAAGUGCUCGGAACCUCGAAAGAAAAGAAAAAGUGAGACGAGAGGUAAAAAUGGACAAGUGUCCGACAGUAGAAUUAGGGGUGCAAGAUACCCACCUGGAAAAAAAAAGAAGAGCAUCUCAUUCUCCUCAUAAAGUUUCAAUAGCAAGGAAGGUAUGUAUCCCCUCAAAGAGCAAAGUAGAAUUAGACUUCCACCACCAUUGUUUUCACCAUUGUUAUCACCAUCACCACCAUACACCAUUCAUUCGCCACCCAUGCACAUCUUGAUUAAACUUAUUGGCUUGUUACUUUGGAUCCAUGGUUUGACUAUACAAUAAAUGUCUUGUAAGUAUGUAUAUUUUAUCUCCCACCUAUGAGCUCCAGAUAUUAAAGCCCUAUUAGAGUAGGGUGAGAGAGAAGGUAAUGUCACUAUGCCUCAUACCACAAAUACUACAUAUCUUGAGAGAAGGCAUAUACCAUCAAUGCCUUGGUAAGGAUCCAAAAAUACCACAAAAGAGAGACCUGAGAGAAUCAUACAAGGAAUUUCUGAGUUUUAUUUGAAAAUUUGCAAAAACCCCAGAGCUAUAGCUGAUCAAGAAUAAGAGACAUGGCACUUGGCUAGACUGUUCUAUCUUUUAACCACUCAAGACAGAAGUGACAGUUACAAGUCCCAUGGUAAAGGUAAAGUAAGUAAUUUUUAAGUCUUGAUAGUUUACUCUUACUCAGAGAUGAGAUCUUAUUAAAAAAGCAUGUGUACCGUCAAAUUUUUUUAAAAAUAUAUAUAUAUAUAUAUAUAUAUUGCAACAACUUAUGAUCCAUAGCUGAGUCUAUCUUUGCUCAGGGACGAGCAAGAGGUAAGCUUGGGGGAGUUUGUUGACGGUCCUUAAGUAUCAAAUUUAAUUAUCAAAUAAAUAAAGAAAAGGAUCCAAAUGAAAUCAAGAUCAAGACUUAGGGUUUUAUCUGACAGAAUUCCACGAGUUUUGGUGUUUGUCUAUUUCUGCAGGGGGUUAUCAGGAAAUAUGGAAGAAAGGCCCACAUGUCAGGAUUACGUAAAGAUAUUAACGUGCUGCGCAAUUAUCUUACAUCUAGAAGACUCCAGAAGCCACGAGACCGAAGCGGAGGCGAAACGGGGCCAGACCCUGGGCGGCCGCCCAGUUGGUCAGGGCGCCCGCCCUGCCCCUGAGUCCAAUCAGGACUCUGCUUUGCGGGAGAUCUCCACCGACCUAAAGGAUGAAUCCAAACCAUACAAUCUAUGUCGGUUUGAUCCAAGGGCCCAUAUUCACUUGAAGGGACUAUAAAACCAGACCCCCUGGCCCCUGGAGGAGAGAGCCUCUCAACCCUAAUUCAUUGUUCCAUCAAGGAGAGAAGAAGCCUCUGAUCAAGAUUAGAGCCACCACAUCAAUUAGAUAUCUAGAUUAGCAUAGCUACAUAGGAUUAGAACUAGAAGGAGUCAAUCUUCGAUUGGUUUCCGGAUCUGUCAGGAGGAUUCUUGGUAAUUCUCUAAUUGUGCUUCUAAUUGCUUUCUAAUUAUCUUUGUUCUGCAAUAUUAUGAAUAUGACUUUAUUCUACUUCAAUAUAUUGCUUAUAAGUUUGCUCUACUUGUUUAUAUUCGCAAUUAUAUUGUUCUUAGUUUAUCAUAGUUAUGUACUUGGCUUAGUUAGAUUGGAAAUAUAUACAUGUUUAGGAUCGUAUAGCGUUUAUCCAUCGGAUCCAUGGGUAAAUGAUAGAUAUUGUGUAGGCGUGGUGCUUAUACCGUAUUUAUCUGCGAUUGUACCCUAUAUGCCAGAUCGCGGGGUAGUUCGUGGUAGUGACAGCUCCAUUGAUUCUUAUAUAAUCCCCCUCUCGUGUAUUGGGCUAGCAGAGCAACAUUAUUACAGGGGAGUGACUACGAUGUUUCUCAUAUUCCUUGCUAAUAUCACUAUGCAUGGGCGUAGUCCUGUCUCGCAAUGAUUGCUAAGUAUAAUUGCACUAACUACGAUAUGCUAGACUGUAUAGUUGAGAAUAACUUAGGAAAUAUUAUUGUAGUUCAUCCUAAUUCCAUGCUAAUGACUUGCUAGAAUAUCUAAUUAAGGUUCUUAUCAUAUUUAUUAUGUUGCUAAGUUGUGCUGAUCAGAUUAAUUAUCUUUGUCACUAUUCAUUACUUUAUAUAUCCUUUAUGUGACACUUAUCCCUAUAUGAAAGAGUUAGAUAAAUGUUCUCAAUUAUACAUGCAAUGAUAGAUACUCAAUCUUAUAUUCCAUUCUAUAAUCAACAUUGAUGGUAACUAAUCCCUUCCCAGUGGUAAAAAUAUAAAUAACGAUUCCUGGAAUACUUCCCGGUUAAAAUGCUACAUCGGUAUUAAUUUAUGCGCUUGCAGAUCCCAUUUAUUAUUUAUUUAGAUGAGCAAUUGCAUAUUUUAAUACCGCGUCUUUCAUGUCAUGCUGGGGAUGACAACUUGGCUUAAGUGGCAUGGGAGAUAGGUUUGGCAUUUUUGACGCCGUUAUCAGAAUUAGAGAACUAAGUCUACUUUUGGUAAUGACGUUAAGAAUACCCAACAAGCAUUUUUGGCGCUGUUGUCGGGGAAGGUUGAUUACUAAUUAGGAAUGGAUAUAGGAUAUUGAGUCAUCAUUCGCAUCACUAAUAUGAUUGACCUUAUCAAUUCUCUCAUACAGUUUUACCCUGAUAUUUUUCUAUUUUAUCUUAUGCAGAGUAAUGUAUGAAUAGAAGACAUCUUCCAGGAAAUUUUGUUGACAAUUAUUCAGAAAAACAAGAGCCAAGCUCAAGAAGAGAUCAUCAACACUUCAGCAAGAAGCUUCAUCCAAUCAAGAAGAUCACCAGAACUUGUCUUCAGAGUUCGAAGCCAUGGCGAACAAAUCGAUCCGUGAGUUCUCAGCUCCCACUACGGACAACAUCCGCACUGGACCUGCUGCAGAGAUCGACGACAACUUUGAGCUCAAGCCUGGACUUAUCAACAUGGUGCAAUCCAACCAGUUCUGUGGGAAGGCACAUGAAGAUGCUAGUGCUCAUCUCCAACACUUCCUGGAGAUUUGCAGCACAUUUACCAUAUCAGGAGUCCCCAGAGAUGCUAUGCUACUUCGCCUCUUCCCAUUCUCACUGUUAGGAAGAGCGAAACAGUGGUUCUACACUACAAAGGAGAAGAAUACUACGUGGGCACUCUGCUCCAUGAACUUUCUAGCUAAGUUCUUUCCCAUGGGCAAGACCAAUGCUCUCCGUGGGAAGAUUACAAGUUUUCAGCAACAACAUGAUGAAUCCGUUCCAGAAGCAUGGGAGCGCUUCCAAGACUACAUCCUAGAUUGUCCCGAUCAUGGAAUGGAGAGUUGGCUACUGAUGCAGACAUUUUAUCAUGGGCUCGGCAACAGUGCCCGAGUAACCAUGGAUGCUGCAGCUGGAGGAGCAUUCUUAUCACUUACCAUAUCACAAGCCACAGCUCUUGUGGAGAAGAUGGCGUCAAACCAAAGCUGGAAUGAAGAGAGGACCCAGACACGCAAGAAAGGUGGAGGCAUACAUCAGCUCAAGAAGGUAGAUAUGCUAUCUGCAAAGCUAGACCUGCUCAUGAAGAAGCUCGAUGAUAGAGCUGGAGAUAAGAAAUAAGUUAUGCACAUCUACGACUCUCACAUGACUUGUGAGGAGUGUGGAGAUACUGGAUACUCAGGCAAACACUGCUCUGAGAUGCUUGAGGAUGUGAACUACAUCAACAAUAACAACAACAACAACUACUACUACAACCGUCCUCAACAAAAUCAAGGUUGGAAUCAACAGAGGCCUAACUACUCAAGUAAUUAUCAACUUAACAAUUCUUACAAUAAUAAUUUUCCACCUCUGAGAGAGUUAGUGUCUAAUCAAGGAAAGCUAAUGGAUAUCCUAUCUAAGAAAUUGGCAUCUAAUGAUAAAAUGCAAGAAAAUAUAAAUAAUAGAAUGGAUAAUUUCUCUACUGCCAUCAAGAAUCAAAUUAGCUUUAAUAAAAUGAUUGAAUCUCAAUUAAAUCAAAUAGCUGCUGUUGUUCCUACUACUAACCCCGGUAUACUAUCACAACUGGAAGGAUUAGAAUCUGCAAAUCUUGUAGACAUGUUUGAUGCUGGUAACUGGAGUAACCCCGUCACGGAAGUUACUACUGACCUUCUACCGGUCAAGAGAGGCGAUCUAGGGCGCUCCGUCAUCCCGAUCUCCAUCGGCAUGGUGGACUUCCCAGAAGCACUCUGCGACUUUGGCUCCAGCGUCAACAUUAUGCCCAGGGUACUCUAUGAAAAAUUCUUUACAUAUCCUUUAUUAGAAAAAACUAUGUUUUUGUAGUUUGCAGAUCAGACGAUAAGUUUUCCAAAAGGAAUAUUGAAGAACCUCUGCGUCCUAGUUGGUACCUUGUAUGUCCCAGCAGACUUCGUGGUGAUAGAGACCGGUAAUGAUGAGAGGGCACCCAUCAUCUUAGGGAGGCCACUCUUAAACACCUCGGGAGCUGUCAUCUACGCCAGUGCUGCCAAGAUCAGUUUCUACAUCAAAGGGAGAAAGGAGACGUUUUCCUUCAAGAACAAGACUAGACAAAUCCCAGAGCAAUCUAGAUGUGAAUCAAGGAAGAGGACCAACAGGAGGAACAGAAACAAGCAAGUGUGGACCGAGUCAGCUAAGAUGGUCACUGCAGUUCAAGGAGGUCAAGAUCAUCAACUUAAGUCACCAUUUCUGACCAAGAAGGACGACCCAGGAAUGCCAAGCAUCUAUUGCUCCAUAAAUGGAUACAACUUCUACAAGACGUUUUGCGACACCGGAUCGGGCGUCAACAUAAUGGCCGCAGUCACCUAUCUGCUCUUGUUCGGAACCAUGCCCUUAAAACCAACAUACAUUCAGCUCCAGAUGGCAGAUCAGACAUUUCGAGAGGUUGAAGGAACAGUGACUGAUGUCCCAGUCAAAGUAGACGAUCAUUUUGUCUACACAGACUUUCAGGUUAUAGAUAUGGGAGAAGAUGAAUACGAUCCACCCAUCAUUCUUGGAAGACCGUUCCUCAGCACCGUUAAAGCAAUCAUCUACAUUGGAACUGGAGAAGUCCAUAUGCACUUCCCCUCAGAGAAGGUACGCUGCUAUUUUACUGACCCUAACUAUAUCGUUGAAGACUCUAAGCAGGUCAAAAACGACGCAACCGCAACCAGAGGAGGCAAAUCAUCAAGGACGGAUGGGCAGACUAUGAAGGAGAAGUGGUAAGGUCAGAACACAUACAGUUUAAACAGAAUUAUCUAGAGGAGACUGUAGCACCAAGUCAGGUGUGGAGAGAGAAGAUAACUAUACACGAAGAAGAGGCGCCGUCGGAAGUACCGACGACGCCACCCAACGAAUCCCAGGACGACCGAGAAAACGGAGAGUCCCGUUUGGAGGACUUAAAAACACCAAACGCCUUGCCAAGAGGUAAACUUGGUAGUUAUACUUUCCCUUUCAAUUAUUUUAAAAUAGUUAGCUUAGUUAGUUAUGUUCAGACUAUCCUAAAAAGAAAAUAAAAAUGUUAAAAAAAUAGUAAGUCCCAUGUGAGUAUAUGAGUGGCAUAAACCCCAUAAGUACAUUGACUGUGGUGGCAUAAAAAUAAAAUAAAUAUUUCUUUUCUGCUUUAUACAAUGAAAAUAAAAAAAUUAGGGAGUAACAUUUAUUGAGGAGGCUCAACAUGAUAAAGGCUAAAUAUUUAUGCUAACACCUAAUCAGCUCCACAAAGCUUUGUUGUCUAUUUGAGCUCCACAAAAUUUAAGAAUCAAGAAGACUAGCAGAUAGAGGACAUUCUAAUCGCUGUCAAGAUACUGCCGACUUUCAAAUACACCUCUGCCACCUGCUAGCUACAUCAAAAUAAAUUACGUCAAAAUUCAGCUUGGAGGAGAGCACUCCCAUUUAUCUCGCUAAGUAUUUCUAUCUAUCAUUAUACUUGUACUAUACUAAAAUAUAAAUAUACAUUACUAUGAAAAACCAAAUAAAUAUUUUAUACAUAUAUAUAUAUCUUUUGCUUAGUAUGUUUAAUAAAUAAAUAAAUAAAGUGGCUAUGCUAAACUGAAUCUUAAUAAUAAAACUCUAGCAUGGAUAUGAUGAAUAGUUGCUCUGCCUAAUUUUUAAAUUUGAGUACUUUCUCUAGUUUAGACAUAACUGUUAUAAUUUAAAGCUUGCUCUAAACCUGAACUUGUGGGAAGAGAACUUGAUCUGAAGUCUAAGUUGUUAACGGAUAUGAUAUGGGAAGGUUGAGCUGUUGUUUAUCUGUUCCUAGAGAUGCUAGAAUUCUGGAGAAUUUUAUCUUUGAAAAUCUUUAAAAUAUCACAUGAUGAGUUCCUGUAUGAUGAGAGUUUAAAUUCCUACCACAGUCAUAUAUACAUGCUUGCUAGACUUUGAGCCACACAUUUACAUUUUUACUGUUUAUGAGCAUUGAGUGUGGUCAAGCUGUGUAGACCCUUAGGAGCUUGUCAUGUGGUUAAAUCAAGAUUCACUUGCACGUUCACUCACACAUGCUGCUUCUACUCCGGAAGUACCGUCCACAUAUAUCCACUCAUUUCCAUCUCCAGAACCACCCAAAAAUAUUCUACUCCUAAUCUGGGAGAGAAUAGCCAAAAACAUUUCUGUUUUUCCCCUGUGAAAUAAAUGCUCAAGUUAUCUUGUUACUACCACUUGGUAUAUUAUUUCAUGAGAUGAGUGCUCUAAAAAAAGAGAAUACGAGGAAAUAAAAAGGGGCAAAUGCCCGAAACCUCGAAAGAAAAGAAAAAGUGAGACGAGAGGUAAAAAUGGACAAGUGUCCGACAGUAGAAUUAGGGGUACAAGAUACCCACCUGAGAGGAAAAAAAGAAAAGAGAGAGCAUCUCAUUCUCCUCAAGUUUCAAAAGAGCAAGAAAGGUAUAUAUCCCCUCAAAAGAGCAAAAGUAGAAUUAGACAUUCACCAUUGUUAUCACCAUCAUCACCAUACGCCAUUCAUUCGCUACACAUGCACAUAUUGAUUUGAUUUAUUGACUUGUUUCUCUGGAUCCAUGGUUUAACUAUGCAAUAAAUGUCUUGUGAGUAUGUAUACUUUAUCUCCCACCUAUGAGCUCCAGAUAUUAAAAGCCUUAUUAGAGUAGGGUGAGAGAGAAGGCAAUGUCACUAUGCCUUAUACCACAAAUACUACAUAUUUGGAGAGAAGGCAUAUACCAUCACUGCCUUGGUAAAGAUCCAGAAAUACCACAAAAGAGAGAUCUGAGAGAGUCAUACAAGGAAUCUCUGAGUUUUAUUUGAAAAUCUACAAAAACUCCAGAGCUAUAGCUGAUCAAGAAUAAGAGAAUGGCACUUGAUUAGACCGUUCUAUCUUUUAACUACUCAAGACAGAAGUGACGGUUACAAGUCCCAUGGUAAAAGGUAAAAUGAAUAAGUUUUAAGUCUUGACAGUUUACUCUAACUCAGAGAUGAGAUCUUAUUUAAAAGCAUGUGUACCGUCAAUUUUUAAAGAUAUUGCAGCAACUUCUGAUCCAUCACUGAGUCUAUCCUUGCUCAGGGACGAGCAACAGGUAAGCUUGGGGGAGUUUGUUGACGGUCCUUAAGUAUUAAAUUUAAUUAUCAAAUAAACAGAGAAAAGGAUCCAAAUGAAAUCAACAUCUAGACUUAGGGUUUUAUCUGACAGAAUUCCACGAGUUUUGGUGUUUGUCUAUUUCUGCAGGGGGUUAUCAGGAAAUACAGAAGAAAGGCCCACAUGUCGGGAUUACAUAGAGAUAUUAACGUGCCACGCAAUUAUCUUACAUCUAGAAGACUCUAGAAGCCACGAGAACGAAGCGGAGGCAGAACGGGGCCUGGCCUAGGGCGCCCGCCCUAGGGACCAGGGCGCCCGCCCCCUUUAGAGUUCAAUUAGGACUCUCUUUUAGGAUUAAGCUCCACUGACCUAAAGGAUCAAGGAUAACCGUUCAAUCAAUGUCAGUUUGAUCCGACGGCCCAUAUUCACUUAGAGGGACUAUAAAACCAGACCCCCUGGCCCCUAGAGGAGACAGCCUCUCAACCCUAAUUCAUUAUUCAUCAAGGGAGAAGAAGCCUCUGAUCAAGCCUAGAGCCACCACAUCAAUUAGACAUCUAGAUUAGCAUAGCUACAUAGGAUUAGAACUAGAAGGAGUCAAUCUUCAAUUGGUUUCCGGAUCUGUCAAGAGGAUUGUUGGUAAUUCUCUAUUGUUCUUCUAUUGUUCAUCUUUGUUCUUCAAUAUUAUGAAUAUGACUUUGUUCUACUUCAAUAUAUUGCUUAUGACUUUGCUCUACUUGUUUAUAUUCGCAAUUAUAUUGUUCUUAGUUUAUCAUAGUUAUGUACUUGGCUUAGUUAGAUUGGAAUUAUAUACAUGUUUAGGAUCGUAUAGCGUUUAUCCAUCGGAUCCAUGGGUAAAUGAUAGAUAUUGUGUAGGCGUGGUGCUUAUACCAUAUUUAUCUGCGAUUGUACCCUAUAUGCCAGAUCGCGGGGUAGUUCGUGGUAGUGACAGCUCUAUUGAUUCUUAUAUUGUCCCCCUCUCGUGUAUUGGGCUGGCAGAGCAACAUUAUUACAGGGGAGUGAUUACGAUGUUUCUCAUAUUCCUUGCUAAUAUCACUAUGCAUGGGCGUAGUCCUGUCUCGCAAUGAUUGCUAAGUAUAAUUGCACUAACUAUGAUAUGCUAGACUGUAUAGUUGAGAAUAACUUAGGAAAUACUCUUGUAGUUCAUCAUAAUUCCAUGCUAAUGACUUUCUAGAAUAUCUAAUUGAGGUGCUUAUCAUAUUUAUUAUGUGGCUAAGUUAUGCUGAUCAGAUUAAUUAUCUUUGUCACUAUUCAUUACUUCAUAUAUCCUUUAUGUGACACUUAUCCCUGUAUGAAAGAGUUAGAUAAAUGUUCUCAAUUAUACAUGCAAUGAUAGAUACUCAAUCUUAUAUUCCAUUCUAUAAUCAACAUUGAUGGUUACUAAUCCCUUCCCAGUGGUAAAAAUAUAAAUAACGAUACCUAGAAUACUUCCCGGUUAAAAUGCUACAUCGGUAUUAAUCUGUGCGCUUGCAGAUCCCAUUUAUUAUUUAUUUAGAUGACCAAUUGCAUAUUUCAAUACCACGUCACUUAUGUCAUGCUGGGGAUGACAACUUGGCUUAAGUGGCCUUAGGGAUAGGUUUGGCAUUUUUGGCACCGUUAUCAGAAUUAGAAAACUAAGUCUACUUUUGGUAAUGACGUUAAGAAUGCCCAACAAGCAUUUUUGGCGCCGUUGCCGGGGAUGGUUGAUUACUAAUCAGGAAUGAAUAUAGGAUUUUGAGUUAUCAUUCGCAUCACUAAUAUGAUUGAGCUUAUCAAUUCUCUCAUACAGUUUUACCCCGAUAUUUUUUCUAUUUUAUCUUAUGCAGGGGAGUGUAUGAAUAGAAGACAUCUUCCAGAAAAUUUUUUUGACAAUCCCGAAGCGUUAUUCAGAAAAACAAGAGCCAAGCUCAAGAAGAGAUCAUCAACACUUCAGCAAGAAGCUUCAUCCAAUCAAGAAGAUCAUCGGAACUUGUCUUCAGAAUUCGAAGCCAUGGCGAACAAAUCGAUCCGUGAGUUCUCAGCUCCCACUACGGACAACAUCCGCACUGGACCUGCUGCAGAGAUCGAUGGCAACUUUGAGCUCAAGCGUGGACUUAUCAACAUGGUGCAAUCCAACCAGUUCCGUGGGAAGGCACAUGAAGAUGCUAGUGCUCAUCUCCAACACUUUGUGGAGAUUUGCAGCACAUUCACCAUAUCAGGAGUCCCCAGAGAUGCUAUACUACUUCGCCUCUUUCCAUUCUCACGGUUGGGGAGAGCGAAGCAAUGGUUCUAUGCUACAAAAGGAGAAUAAUACUACAUGAGCACUCUGCUCCACGAACUUUCUAGCUAAGUUCUUUCCCAUGGGCAAGACCAAUGCUCUUCGUGGGAAGAUUACAAGUUUUCAGUAACAACAUCAUGAAUCCGUUCCAGAAGCAUGGGAGCGCUUCCAAGACUACAUCCUAGAAUGUCCCCAUCAUUGAAUGGAGAGUUGGCUACUGUUGCAGAUGUUUUAUCAUGGGCUCGGCAACAGUGCCCGAGAGACCAUGGAUGCUGCAGCCAGAGGAGUAUUCUUAUCACUUACCAUACCACAAGCCACAGCUCUUGUGGAGAAGAUGGCGUCCAACCAAAGCUAGAUUGAAGAGAGGACCCAGACACGCAAGAAAGGUGGAGGUAUGCAUUAGCUCAAGGAGAUAGACAUGCUAUCUGCAAAGCUAGACCUGCUCAUGAAGAAGCUCGAAGAUAGAGCUGGAGAUAAGAAAGAAGUUAUGCACAUCUACGACUCUCACAUGACUUGUGAGGAGUGUGGAGAUAUUGGACACUAAGGCAAUCACUACCCUGAGAUGCUUGAGGAUGUGAACUACAUCAACAACAACAACAACUACUACUACAACCGUCCUCAACAAAAUCAAGGUUGGAAUCAACAGAGGCCUAACUACUCAGGUAAUUAUCAAGGUAACAAUUCUUACAACAAUAAUAAUAAUUUUCCACCUCUGAGAGACUUAGUGUCUAAUCAAGGAAAGCUAAUGGAUAGUCUAUCGAAGAAAUUGGCAUCUAAUGAUAAAAUGCUAGAAAAUAUAAAUAAUAGAAUGGAUAAUUUCUCUACUGCCAUCAAGAAUCAAAUUAGCUUUAAUAAAAUGAUUGAAUCUCAGUUAAAUCAAAUAGCUGCUGCUGUUCCUACUACUAACCCUGGUAUACCAUCACAACCGGAAGGAUUAGAAUCUACAAAUCUUGUAGACAUGUUUGAUGUAGGUAACUGGAGUAACCCCAUCACUGAAGUUACUACUGACCUUCUGCCGGUCAAGAGAGGCGAUCCCGAACGCCCUGUCAUCCCGAUCUCCAUCGGCAUGGUGGACUUCCGAGAAGCACUCUGUGACUUUGGCUCCAGUGUCAACAUUAUGCCCAGUGUACUCUAUGAAAAAUUCUUUACAUAUCCUUUAUCAGAAACAACCAUGUGUUUGUAGUUUGUAGAUCAGGCGAUAAGUUUUCCAAAAGGAAUAUUGAAGAACUUCUGUGUCCGAGUUGGUACCUUGUAUGCUCCAGUAGACUUCAUGGUGAUAGAGACUAGUAAUGAUGAGAGGGCACCCAUCAUCUUAGGGAGGCCAUUCUUAAACACCUCGGGAGCUGUCAUCUACAUUAGUGCUGCCAAGAUCAGUUUCUACAUCAAAGGGAGGAAGGAGACAUUUUCCUUCAAGAACAGGACUACACAAAUCCGAGAGCAAUCCAAACAUGAACCAAGGAAGAGGACCAACAGGAGGAACUGAAACAAUCAAGCGUGGACCGAGUCAGCUAAGAUGGUCACUGCAGUUCAUGGAGGUCAAGAUCAUCGACUUAAGUCACUAUUUUUGACCAAGAAGGAUGACCCAGGAAUGCCAAGCAUCUAUUGCUCCAUAAAUGGAUACAACUUCUACAAGACAACUUGCGACACCGGAUCGGGCGUCAACAUAAUGGCCGCAGUCACCUAUCGACUCUUGUCCGGAACCAUGCCCCUAAAACCAACAUACAUUCAACUCCAGAUGGCAGAUCAGACAUUUCGAGAGGUUAAAGGAACAGUGACUGAUGUCCCAGUCAAAAUAGACGAUCAUUUUGUCUACACAGACUUUCAGGUUAUUGACAUGGGAGAAGACGAGUACAAUCCACCCUUCAUCCUUGGAAGACCGUUCCUCAGCACCGUUAAAGCAAUCAUCUACAUUGGAACUGGAGAAGUCCAUAUGCACUUCCCCUCAGAGAAGGUACGCCGCUAUUUUACUGACCCUAACUAUAUCGUUGAAGACUCUAAGCAGGUCAGAAAACGACGCAACCGCAACCAGAGGAGGCAAAUCAUCAAGGACGGAUGGGCAGACUAUGAAGGAGAAGUGGUAAGGUUAGAAGAUGUACAGUUUAAACAAAAUUAUCCAAAGGAGACUAUAGCACCGAGUCUGGUAUGGAAAGAGAAGAUAACUAUACAUGAAGAGGAGGCGCUGCCGGAAGCACCGACUACGCCACCCAACGAAUCCUAGGACAAGUGAGAAAACGGAGAGUCCCGUUCGGAGGACUUAAAAACACUGAAUGCCUUGCUAAGAGGUAAACUUGGUAGUUAUCCUUUCCCUUUCAAUUAUUUAAAAUAGUUUACUUAGUUCAUGCUAUCCUAAAAAGAAAAUAAACAUGUUAAAAAAAUAGUAUGCCCCAUGUGAGUAUAUGAGUGGCAUGAAACCCAUAAGUACAGUCACUGUGGUGGCAUAAAAAUAAAAUAAAUAUUUCUUUUUCUACUUUAUAAAAUAUAGGGAGUAAUAUUUAUUAAGGAGUCUCAACAUGAUAAAGGCUAGAUAUUUAUGCUAACACUUAAUCAGUUCCACAAAGCUUUGUUGUCUAUUUGAGCUCCACAGGAUUCAAGAAUCAAGAAGACUAGCAGACGGAGGACAUUCUAAUCGCUGUCAUACUACCGACUUUCAAAUACACCUCUGCCACCUGCUAGCUACAUCAGGAGAAAUUACGUCAAAAUUCAGCUUGGGGGAGAGCACCCCCAUUUAUCCCGCUAAGUAUUUCAAUCUAUCUUUAUACUUAUACUUAUAUAAAUAUACAUAACUAUGGAAAACCAAAUAAACAUUUUAUACUUAUAUAUAUAUCUUUUGCUUAGUGUGUUUAAAAAAUAAAUAAAGUGGCUAUGCUAAACUAAAUCUAAAUAAAACUCUAGCAUGGAUAUGAUGAAUAGUUGCUCUGCCUAAUUUUCAAAUUUGAGUUUUCUCUCAAGUUUAGACAUAACUGUUAUAAUUUAAAGCUUGCUCUAAACCUAAACUUGUGGGAAGAAAACUUUAUCUGAAGUCUAAGUUGUUAUCGGAUAUGAUAUGGGAAGGUUGAGCUGUUGUUUAUCUGUUCCUAGAGAUGCUAGAAUUUUGGAGAAUUUUAUCUUUGAAAAUCUUUAAAAUGUUGCAUGAUGAGUUCCUAUAUGAUGAGAGUUUAAAAUCCUACACAGCCAUAUAUACAUGCUUAUUAGACUAUUUACCAUACAUUUACUUUUUUACUGCUUAUGAGCAUUGAGUGUGGUCAAGCUGUGUAGACCCUUAGGAGCUUGUCAUGUGGUUAAAUCAAGAUUCACUUGCACGUUCACUCACAUAUGCUGCUUCUACUAUGGAAGUACCAUCUACAUAUAUCCACCCAUUUCCAUCUCGAGAACCACCCAAAAAUAUUCUACUCCUAAUCCGAGAGAGAAUAGCCAAAAAAUAUUUCUAUUUUUCUCUUGUGAAAUAAAUGCUCAAAUUAUCUUUGUUACUACCACUUGCUAUAUUAUCUCAAGAGAUGAGUGCUCUAAAAAAAGGGAUACGAGGAAAUAAAAAGGGGCAAGUGCCCGGAACCUCGAAAGAAAAGAAAAAGUGAGACGAGAGGUAAAAAUGGACAAGUGUCCGAUAGUAGAAUUAGGGGUACAGAAUACCCACCUGAGAGGAAAGAAAAAGAAAAUAUAGAGCAUCUCAUUCUCCUCACAAAGUUUUAAAAGAGCAAGGAAGGUAUGUAUCCCCUCAAAAGAGCAAAAGUAGAAUUAGACUUUCACCAUACACCAUUCAUUUGCCACACAUGCACAUCUUGAUUUGACUUAUUGGCUUGUUUAUUUGGAUCCAUGGUUUGACUAUGCAAUAAAUGUCUUGUAAGUAUGUAUAUUUUAUCUCCCACCUAUGAGCUCCAGAUAUUAAAGCCUUAUUAGAGUAGGAUGAGAGAAAAGGCAAUGCCAUUAUGCCUUAUACCACAAAUACUACAUAUCUUGAGAGAAGGCAUAUACCAUCACUACCUUGGUAAGGAUCCAAAAAUACCACAAAAGAGAGAUCUGAGAGAGUCAUACAAGGAAUCUCUGAGUUUUAUUUGAAAAUCUGCAAAAACUCCAGAGCUAUAGCUGAUCAAGAAUAAGAGACAUGGCACUUGACUAGACUGUUCUAUCUUUUAACUCCUUAAGACGGAAGUGACAGUUACAAGUCCCAUGGUGAAAGGAAAAAUGAAUAAGUUUUGAGUCUUGACAGUUUACUCUAACUCAGAGAUGAGACCAUAUUUAAAAGCAUGUGUACCGUCAAUUUUUUUAAAAAAUAUUGCAACAACUUCUAAUUCAUCGCUGAGAUUAUCCUUGCUCAGGGACGAGCAAGAGGUAAGCUUGGGGGAGUUUGUUGACGGUCCUUAAGUAUCAAAUUUAAUUAUCAAAUAAACAAAGAAAAGGAUCCAAAUGAAAUCAACAUCCAGACUUAGGGUUUUAUCUGACAGAAUUCCACGAGUUUUGGUGUUUGUCUAUUUCUGCAUGGGGUUAUCAGGAAAUACGAAAGAAAGGCCCACACGUCGGGAUUACAUAGAGAUAUUAACGUGCUGUGCAACUAUCUUACAUCUAGAAAGAAAGCCACAGGAACGAAGCGGAGGCGAAACGGGGCCUGGCCCAGGGCGCCCACCCAGGAGACCAGGGCGCCCGCCCCUGUUGGAGUCCAAUCAGGACACUCUUUCGGGAUCAAGCUCCACCGACCUAAAGGAUCAAGGAUAACCAUUCAAUCAAUGUCGGUUCGAUCCAAUGGCCCAUAUUCACUUGGAGGGACUAUAAAACCAGACCCCUUAGCCCCUGGAGGAGAGAGCCUCUCAACCCUAAUUCAUUAUUCCUCAAGGGAGUAGAAGCCUCUGAUCAAGCCUAGAGCCACAACAUCAAUUAGAUAUCUAGAUUAGCAUAGCUACAUAGGAUUAGAACUAGAAGGAGUCAAUCUUUGAUUGGUUUCCGGAUCUGUCAAGAGGAUUCUUGGUAAUUCUCUAAUUGUUCUUCUAAUUGUUCAUCUUUGUUCUUCAAUAUUAUGAAUAUGACUUUGUUCUAAUUCAAUAUAUUGCUUAUGACUUUGCUCUACUUGUUUAUAUUCAAGAUUAUAUUAUUCUUAGUUUAUCAUAGUUAUAUACUUGGCUUAGUUAGAUUUGAAUUAUAUACAUGUUUACGAUCGUAUAGCGUUUAUCCAUCGGAUCCAUGGGUAAAUGAUAGAUAUUGUGUAGACGUGGUGCUUAUACCGUAUUUAUCUGCGAUUGUACCCAAUAUGCCACAUCGUGGGGUAGUUCGUGAUAGUGACAGCUUCAUUGAUUCUUAUAUAGUCCCCCUCUCGUGUAUUGGGCUGGCAGAGCAACAUUAUUACAGGGGAGUGAUUACGAUGUUUCGCAUUUUCCUUGCUAAUAUCACUAUGCAUGGGUGUGGUCCUUUCUCGCAAUGAUUGCUAAGUAUGCUUGCACUAACUAUGAUAAUGCUAGACUGUAUAGUUGAGAAUAACUUAGGAAAUAUUCUUAUAGUUCGUUCUAAUACCAUGCUAAUGACUUGCUAGAAUAUCUCAUUGAGGUGCUUAUCAUAUUUAUUAUGUGGCUAAGUUAUGCUGAUCAGAUUAAUUAUCUUUAUCACUAUUCAUUACUUCAUAUAUCCUUUAUGUGACACUUAUCCCUGUAUGAAAGAGUUAGAUAAAUGUUCUCAAUUAUACAUGCAAUGAUAGAUACUCAAUCUUAUAUUCUAUUCUAUAGUCAACAUUGAUGGUUACUAAUCCCUUCCCAGUGGUAAAAAUAUAAAUAACGAUACCUGGAAUACUUCUCGGUUAAAAUGCUACAUCGGUAUUAAUCUAUGCGCUUGCAGAUCCCAUUUAUUAUUUAUUUAGAUGAGCAAUUGCAUAUUUCAAUACCACGUCUCUUAUGUCAUGCUGGGGAUGACAACUUGGCUUAAGUGGCAUGAGGGAUAGGUUUGGCAUUUUUGGCACCGUUAUCAGAAUUACAAACCUAAGUCUACUUUUGGUAAUGACGUUAAGAAUGCCCAACAGUAGUAGCGAGGAACGUGACAUUUCCGAGUUACCUUUGUAGCCCAUAUCCCGUUAGUAGGAUCGAUAGGGUUUAUAGGUGCGGGUCGAACAUCCUUUGUGGUGUCUAGAUUCCGUGAGCUUCCCCAAUAGAACAGUAGAUCAUCCUUACCAAGGUUAGAAUGAGAGUGCAGUUGUAGUCUUCUCUAUACAUCACUCACAUCGAGUCACAUAGUUUGUAGCCUAAAGGGUAGUAGCAAUAGAGUUGAUUAGUCAGAUGCACGCUUUCUUCCAGUGGUAAAAAUAUAAAUACGAUACUCUAGAUAACCUCCCGGGUGAAGUGCUCACCGAUAUCCGUGCGCUUGCGGAUCAUUUCCUGAUGGCGUUACCAAAUAUCAGCAAGCAUUUCUAGCGCCGUUGCCGGGGAGAAAGACGGUUUGCUGAGAUAACUUUAAGUAUUGUUGUUAUCUUGUAUUAUACUUUUAUACUUUUAUUCUUUUUAUCUUUUUAUUUUUUCCAUCUUUAUGGAUAACUCAAAUUCCACACCUAUUAUUGAAUUUUUUGCACCUUCGGAGACAUGCCAUAGACCAUGGGAGUCAACAAGUCCUUUCUUUGACCCUAAUUAUGAUCUGUGUCCGGAGUUGAUUGCAAUAGGUCAAAACCAACCCUUUUCUAUAGCUGAGGUCCUAUCUUUUAAUCAAGAAGAUAAUGAACUUUUAGCUACACCUAGGGAAUCUGUUAAUCUUUCUAUAAAUUCAGGUUUAAACCUAGCUCUACAAGACCAUGUUUUUUCUCGAUAUUUUCACAUUGGUCUUAAUCAUAUAACCUUUGGUAGAGUUUUUCUUUCUUUAUCUGUUAGUAAAGCAAGGUAUGUCUUCAUUCGUGGACAUCCUUCUUGCACUAGUCUUUGUUGACGGUCCUUAAUGCUCACUUUUAACCAUCAACUAAUCAUGGAAAAGGACUUAUAUGCAACCAACACCCAGACUUAGGGUUUUAUCUGACAGAAUUCCACGAGUUUUGGUGUUUGUCUAUUUCUGCAGGGGGUUAUCAGGAAAUACGGAGGAAAGGCCCACACGUCGGGUUGACAUAGAGAUAUUAACGUGCCAAGCAAUUUUCUAUCAUCUAGAAGACUCCAGAAGCCACGGGAACGAACGGGAAGCCGAGAGGGCUCAGGGACAGGGCGCCCGCCCUACUCUCCUGGGCGCCCGCCCACUUCUAGAGUCCAAUCAGGACACGUUUUGCGGAUCACGCUCCACCGACCUAAAGGAUCAAGGAAAACCGUGCGAUUAAUGUCGGUUUGAUCCGACAGUCCAGAUUCAUCUGAAAAGACUAUAUAAGCAAGGCCCCCUGGCCCCUGGAGAUCAUACCUCUUCUACAGAAUCAAAGCUAGGGUUUCAAUUCUUCAUCCAAGUAGAGAGGAUCCCUCUAGUUCAUCUAGUUCUAGUUCUAGUUCCUCUAGUUCCAGUUCAUCUAGUUCUACUUCCUCUAGUUCUACUUCUAGUUAGUUCUAGUUGUAAUCUAGAAAAUAGGGAGAGAGAAGGUGAGAGCGGAGGAGGAGCCAGAUCUGUCGGAUCUUCCUCAACAUUAUACUUUUGCUGCAAAUGGUUCGUUCUUCAUCGUUCUCCAAGUUCUUCAAUUCAUAAUUCCUGAGUUCUUUAAUUACUUGUAUUUACAUUCAAGUUAUUUAUUGGAUUCCCGCUUGCAUCAAGUGCUCUAGUCUUUAUAACGCUAGAGUAGUAAUUAAUAGAUUAGACGUGGUGUUUAGUCUUGCAAUUACCUGGAAUUGCACCCAAUCCUGCGGAUUGUUGUGGUAGACCUAGGGUAGUGACAGACCUAACGGUUGACGUAUUCCACCUCGUUCGGAUCGGUGUUUGUAGGACCGUAGUCAGAGCUUCCUAGCCCCCUUCUCAUCUCAUUCUGUGGUUAGUGUUCUGAUGUCCCGAAACAAAUAAUCUUUGAAGUAAUUCUUGAUUCUUAGAUCAACUAGAGAACUCUCAGGAGACUUCCUCUCUUCCCACCAAAAAUAAUUAUAUAGUUAUCUUUGGGCGAUCUUAAUUCUUAAUUAGUACACUCACGUUCCUGGUGGGAAAUCGAUACUCUGGAAUACUCCCGGGUGAAGGCUACAUCGGUAUCCGUGUGCUUGCGGAUUUUUCUGUUUGCGUUUAAAAUACCCAACAAGCUUUCUAGGCGCCAUUGCCGGGGAACGGUAGUUGUGCUAGUUUCGAACCAAGUCGUCCGUGUAUCCUUUUUCUUUUCCUUUUAUACCACACCCACCUUAUCAUUUACACCACGCCACAUGGAUUUCACUCCAAGCAUUAAUGAGCAUGGAAUUUAUUUCAUAGCCACUUCAUUUACUCCAUGCUCAUAUGCAACAUCUUCCCAAUCUUUUGGUCUCUCCAACAUCACCCCAUUCGAGAUCUCCAACUUCCUCUUCCUUUCUAUUUAUAAAAAAUUUAAAAGGGCGGUUAUCGAUGCAUAUGUCUAUAUUAAAUAUUGCAGAUCUCGUUGAGUUGAUCUUGAUAUAGGUCAGCGUUGGAGGGGAAACCACUUCCCCGACAUAAAUUGAUGGUUUCCCAAGGACAAGCUUAGUGUCCUAAAAUAAGCACUGAUCAGAUCGUGAUAUGAGCUUUUAAUUUUUUGCAACAUUACCUUGUGUAUUGAGCAUAUAAGGAUAAUUGUAAAAAUAUUCCUUCGGGUAUUCUUGUCACUAACCUUUCCAGGAUUGGAGCAAGAAGAUCGGAUGAAUGACAAGCACAAGGUAUGUCCAACCAAUCAUCAUACAAUAUUGAAUUAAAUUCAUCCAAACUUGAAUUUUGCAAAAUUCAAGCUUGGGGGAGUACUUUAUAUAAAAACAUCAUUUGCCAUGUUGCUAUGUUGGUUGUCCCUACCUUCGAGACAUGCUAAAUUUGUUAAAUACUAAUCACACUACUUCAUCUCCACUUGAGUAGAACUCUAUAAAUGCUCUCAUGCUACCUUUAUUUGCUUUAGUAUAUGUCUAGGUUUGCAGUAGUUUCAUUUAUCUCUUAAUUAAGCAUGGUGCUUAGUUUAGGAAUGAUGAUCUUACUUCCAAAGGAUUUUUUUAAAUUAAGCAUGAUAAUUAGGUUAAAAUGCCCCCCUAAAUAGUAGAUAUUGGAUAUUUUGUUGGACUAACCCCUACAGGAAAACUUUCAAUAUCGACCUGGGAAGUCCUGAGAUAAACUCACAUUGGAGACAAAGAGAGAGACACAUGAAGGUUAACAAUUUACAUAAGGAAGGCAUAGCUCAUAGAGUGAUGAUCCAUGGAAGGAGACAAAGUACAUAAACAAGAUACACAACCACUACGAAUGGGAAGCUUCCACAAGGUGAUAUUGUAUCAUCACUCUGCAAUUAAGGUAACAUCUUAAGGUAUGUGACUGUCACUAUUAUAAGCUUCUCCUUGGUUCUGGCGUUCACAUGAAUAAAAGAGACAAACAUGUUUGAUUUACAACUCUAGAUAACCAACCCAGUCGAUGAAAUAUGUUUAGUCCUUCCACCUUUGUGAUCCCACACUCAUGAUUUUAUUAUCCAUCAACCUUGUCCUGCUCACUAUGCUUAAGGUUAGAGAAGAACAAAUACACUUUCGGUUCUGUUGGUGUUUUCCACCAACAGGGCCCAUGCACUUGAUCUCUGCCUUGUCUCUAUGAGUAGGUACACUUCGAGUAAAAUAUGGAGGAGUUUUACAACUCCUAGACUCCGCCAAGUGAAAAAGCUAGAUCUACGAGCACAAACACACUAGAGAUACUGGACACUCAGGCAGUCACUGCCCUGAGAUGCUUGAGGACGUAACUACUAGAGUAACCCCGUUGUGGAAGUAACUACUAACCUUCUACCGGUCAUGAGAGACGAUCCAGAACGCCCCGUCAUCCCGAUCUCCAUCGGCAUGGUGGACUUCCUAGAAGCACUCUGCGACUUUGGCCCCAGCAUCAACAUUAUGCUCAGGGGAAUAUUGAAGAACCUCUACGUCUGAGUUGGUACCUUGUAUGCCCCAGCAGACUUCUUGGUAAUGGAGACUAGUACUGAUGAGAGGGCACCCAUCAUCCAAGGGAGGCCAUUCCUGAACACCUGAGGAGCUGUCAUCUACGCUAGUGCUGCCAAGAUCAGUUUCUACAUCAAGGGGAGGAAGGAGACGUUUUCCUUCAAGAACAAGACUACACAAAUCUCAGAGCAAUCCUGACAUGAAACAAGGAAGAGGAUCAAUAGGAGGAACAGGAACAAGCAAAUGUGGACAAGUCAACUAAGAUGGUCACUGCAGUUCAAGGAGGUCAAGAUCGUCGACUCAAGUCACCGUUUCUGACCAAGAAGGACGACUCAGCCCCAGAUGGCACAUCAGACAUUCUGGAAGGUUGAAGGUUAUUGACAUGGGAGAAGACGAGUACGAUCCACCCAUCAUCCUUGGGAGACCGUUCCUCAGCACCGUUAAAGCAAUCAUCUAUGUUGGAAUCGGAGAAGUCCACAUGCACUUCCCCUCUGAGAAGGUACGCCGCUAUUUUACUGACCUUAACUAUAUAGUUGAAGACUCUAAAUUGGUCAGGACAAGAAGAAGACGAUGCAGCCGCAACCAGAUUAGGCAAAUCAUCAAUGACGGAUGGGCAGACUACGAAGGAGAAGUGGUAAAGUCUGAAGAUAUACAACUUGAACAGAACUGUCCUAAGGAGACCGUAGCACUGAGUCAAGUGUGGAGAAAGAAGAUAGUUAUACAUGAAGAGCAGGCGUCAUCGAAACCACCGACUACGCCAUCCAGCGAAUCCCAGGACGACUGAGAAAACAGAGAGUCCUAUUCAGAGGACUCAAAAACACCGAACGCCUUGCUAAGAGGUAAACUUGAUAGUUAUCUCUUUCCUUUUAAUUAUUUAAAAUAGUUUGCUUAGUUAAUCUGGUUCAUAUCAUCUUCAAAAGAAAAUAAAAAUGUUAAAAAUAGUAAGCCCCAUGUGAGUAUGCUCAUGGCAUAAAACCCAUAAGUACAUUCACUGUGGUGGCAUAAAAAUGAAAUAAAUAUAUUCCUGUCCUAUAAAAAUAAAAUUAUAAAAAUAAAUUUAUGAUCCUACUAAAGAGAAUAACAUUUAUUGAGGAGGCUCAACAUGAUAAAGGCUAGAUAUUUAUGCUAACAUUUAACCAGUUCCACAAAGCUUUGUUGUCUAUUUGAGCUCCACAGAAUUCAAGGAUCAAAGAAGACUAGCAGACGGAGGACAUCCUAAGCACUGUCACGGUGCUGCCGACAUUCAAAUAUAUCUCCGUCACCUGCUAGCUACAUCAAAGGAAAUUGCGUUAAAAUCCAGCUUGGGGGAGAGCACCCCCAUUUAUCUAGCUAAGUGUUCUACUCACAUUAAUACUUUACUCAAAUAAUAAAAAGUUGCAUAAUCAUAAUAACCCAAAUAAAGAUUUUGUGCUUAUAUAUAUAUCUUUGCUUAGUAUGCUAAAUAAAUAAAUAAAUAUAGUUUGCUAUGAACCCUCAUGAUAAGCUCUCACAUGGAAAUGAUGAAUAGUUGCUCUGUCAUGACUAGUUCUCAAAAUUGAAAUCUCUCUCAAGUUUAGGCAUAACUGUUAUAAUUUAAAGAUUGCUCUAAACCUGAACUUGUGGGAAGAGAACUUGAUCUAAAGUCUAAGUCGUUAAUGGAUAUGAUAUGGGAAGGUUGAGCUGCUGUUUAUUUGUUCCUAGAGAUGCUAGAAUUCCAGAGAAUUUUAUCUUUGAAAAUCUUUAAAAUGUUGCAUGAUGAGUUCCUGUAUGAUGAGAGUUUAAAGUCCUACCAUAGCCAUAUAUAUAUCCUUAUUAGACUAUGAACCAUACAUUUACUUUACUGCUUAUGAGCAUUGAGUGUGGUCAAGCUAUGUAGACCCUUAGGAGCUUGUCAUGUGGUUAAAAUCAAGAUUCACUUGCACUUUCACUCAUACAUGCUGCUUCUACUCUGGAAGUACGCAUCCACAUAUAUCCACUCAUUUCCAUAUCCAGAUUCACCCAAAAUUAUUCUACUCCUAUCUAGGAGAGAAUAGCCAAAAAUAAUAUCCUAUCCCCGUUAUUCCCCGUAAAGUAAAUGCUCGAGAUAUUUGGUUACUACCACUUGCUACAUUAUUCUAGGAGGGUGAGUGCUCUGAAAAAAAGUGAAUACGAGGAAAUAAAAAGGGGCAAGUGCCUAGAACCUCAAAAGAAAAGAAAAAGUGAGACGAGAGGUAAAAAUGGACAAGUGUCCGAUAGUAGAAUUAGGGGUACAAGAUACCCAGCUGAGAGGAAAGAAAAAGAAAAUACAGAGGAUCUCAUUCUCCUCAAUGUUUCAAAAGAGCAAGAAAGGUAUGUAUCCCCUCAAAAGAGCAAAAGUAGAAUUAGACUUUCACCAUUGUUUUCACCAUCAUCACCAUACACCAUUUAUUCGCCAUAUAUGCACAUCUUGAUUUGACUUAUUGACUUUUUCUUUUGGAUCCAUGGUUUGACUAUGCAAUAAAUGUCUUGUAAGUAUGUAUUAGCUGUCUCCCACCUAUGAGCCCUAGAUAUCAAAGCCUUAUUAGAGUAGGAUAAGAGAGAACACAAUGUCACUAUGCUUCAUACCACAAAUACCACAUACUUUGAGAGAGAAGGCAUACACCAUUACUGCCUUGGUAAGGAUCCAGAAAUACCCCAAAAGAGAGACUAGAGAGAGUCAUACAUGGAAUCUCUGAGUUUUAUUUGAAAAUCUACAAAAACUCCAGAGCUAUAGUUAAUCGAAGAACAAGAGACAUGACGCUUGACUAGACCGUUCUAUCUUUUAACUGCUCAAGACCGAAGUUACGGUUACAAGCCCCAUGGUGAAAGGUAAUAUGAGUAAGUUUAAAUCUUAACAGUUUACCCUAACCCAGAGAUGAGAUCUUGUUUGAAUGCAUGUGUAGCUUUAAGGCAUGAAACCACUGCAGAAACUCUUGAGUUCAUCUUUGCUCAGGGACGAGCAAAGGUUAAUCUUGGGUUAGCUUGUUGACGGUCCUUAAUGCUCACAUUUAACCAUCAACUAAUCAUGGAAAAGGACAUAUAUAAACCAACACCCAGACUUAGGGUUUUAUCUGAUAGAAUUCCACGAGUUUUGGUGUUUGUCUAUUUCUGCAGGGGGUUAUCAGGAAAUAUGAAGGAAAGGCCCACACGUCGGGUUUACAUAGAGAUAUUAACAUGCCGUGCAAUUUUCUAUCAUCUAGAAGACUCCAAAAGCCACGGGAACGAACGGGAAGUCGAGAGGGCUCAGGGAAAGGGCGCCCGCCCUACUCUCCUGGGCGCCCGCCCACUUCCAGAGUCCAAUCAGGACACGUUUUGCGGAUCACGCUCCACCGACCUAAAGGAUCAAGGAAAACCGUGCGAUUAAUGUCGGUUUGAUCCGACGGCCAGAUUCAUUUGAAAAGACUAUAUAAGCAAGGCCCACUGGCCCCUGGAGAUCAUACCUCUUCUACAGAAUCAAAGCUAGGGUUUCAAUUCUUCAUCCAAGUAGAGAGGAUCCCUCUAGUUCAUCUAGUUCUAGUUCUAGUUCCUCUAGUACUAGUUCAUCUAGUUCUAGUUCCUCUAGUUCUAGUUCUAGUUAGUUCUAGUUGUAAUCUAGAAAAUAGGGCGAGAGAAGAGGAGAGCGGAGGAGGAGCCGGAUCUGUCGGAUCUUCCUCAACAUUAUACUUUUGCUGCAACUGGUUCGUUCUUCAUCGUUCUCCAAGUUCUUCAAUUCAUAAUUCCUGAGUUCUUUAAUUACUUUUAUUUACAUUCAAGUUAUUUAUUGGAUUCCCGAUUGCAUCAAGUGCUCUAGUCUUUAUAACGCUAGAGUAGUAAUUAAUAGAUUAGACGUGGUGUUUAGUCUUGCAAUUACCGGGAAUUGCACCCAAUCCUGCGGAUUGUUGUGGUAGCCCUAGGUUAGUGACAGCCCUAACAGUCGACGUAUUCCACCUUGUUCGGAUCGGUGUUUGUAGGACCGUAGUCAGAGCUUCCUAGCCCCCUUCUCAUCUAUUUCUGUGGUUAGUGUUCUGAUGUCCUGAAAUGAAUAAUCUUUGAAGUAAUUCUUGAUUCUUAGAUCAACUAGAGAACUCUCAGGAAACUUCCUCUCUUCCCACCGAAAAUAAUUAUAUAGUUAUCCUUGGGUGAUCUUGAUUCUUAAUUAGUACACUCACGUUCCCUGUGGAAAAUAGAUACUCUGGAAUACUCCCGGGUGAAGGCUACAUCGGUAACCGUGCGCUUGCGGAUUUUUCUGUUUGCGUUUAAAAUACCCAACAGUCUUCAUAGAAAAUCCUAGAGAUAGAGAAGGAAUCAUCUCUCAGACGAGGAAAGGAAGUUUCAAUAGCCAAUUUCCAAACAUUUCAAUCCCAUGAUUCAACUAUCCAACCCAAACUAGUAGUGCUCCAAAAUCAUCUUAGGGAAGAAGAAAUUCUACCUUUGGAAAUUCAUUUUGGGAUGAGCUUAAACUUCCUGCUUCAUAAGAGACCUUUGAGUGCAUAUAGUCUGAACCUUCGUAAGAAGGGAUCUCUUAGAAAGCAUCUCAAAUCCAAUCCCUUUGAUGGACAUCUAGAAAGACUCAAGGAUGGCAUCUUAAGUGAUGCAAUAGAAGGAGAGCGAAGCCAUUUAGAAGACAAUCUCAUCUUCUCCUCUUCUACGCCCACUUUUGAUGACUCAUUCGAACCUAUCUUUAAACCCAUCCUUGAGCUUAAUAAUUUCUACUAUGCUCUUUCUCUUGAACCUCCCGAUGAUCCUAUCAACCUCUCUAUACAUCCCAUGCAUAAGAGUCACCAAGACCAUAAGGAGGAUCGAGAAGAACAACAUCAAUGGCUAGAGGGCAUUAAAAAUCCAUGUGCUAUCACCAUUCAGUGGAUGGACAAGGAAAAAGCCUUAAUGGAUUCUGACUUUGGUUCAAUUUCAAAUGGUGAGUUCUUAACUCCCUUUGAAGAUGAGAUUCAUCCAACUACAGAAGAGGACAUAGGCGAGACCAAACUAGGAGAAACUCCGAACAUUUAGAUUGGAGAUGAAGAUAACAUUAAUGAGCAUGGAAUUUAUUUCAUAGCCACUUCAUUUACUCCAUGCUUAUAUGCAACAUCUUCCCAAUCUAUUGGUCUCUCCAACAUCACCACAUUUGAGAUCUCCAACCCCCUCUUCCUUUCUAUUUAUAAAAACUUUAAAAGGGCGGUUGUCGAUGCAUAUGUCUAUAAUAAAUAUUGCAGAUCUCAUUGAGUUGAUCUUGAUAUAGGUCAGCGUUGAAGGGGAAACCACUUCGCCGACGUAAAUUGAUGGUUUCCCAAGGACAAGCUGUCGAGGGUAUCAGUAAGGGGUACCCUCACCGACGCACAUAACGAGAUUAUCCGUACGCAGGUCGAGCCCCUCAACUCGACGCUCUGGUCAUACGUAUGCAAAGCCAUCGACGGCCGCAGCCUCGAAGACGGAAAUGGCGUCGAGCGAAUUGAUCAAGGGUCGAGCGCCAGCUACCGUCGAAUACGGAAACAGGCCUGAGCGAAUCGAGGAGCGUCGAGCGCAAGGACACUGUCCGCCGCCUGACGCGCGCACGAGAGCCAGGACAUUUAAUGCGCCCGCCGCAUUCCCACCUAACACACUGGUCAUGGGAGGCGUGAUAACAGGCACCCGUCCCAUCGUUCUUUUUGCAGCCUUCCCCAACAAACGACCCAGGGCAUGUCAGGGCGCGGGAAACGGGGAUGGAACGUCUAAUCGGGACCUCCUCGAGGUAACCAAGGUCAGCGCUCCGGAUAACAGGGCAUUGCACGGCGUCCGGCCCUCGACCAGACACGGUUCCUUCCUGGAGACGAGUUGGACGUCGACUGACAACACCAUAACCACCCCGCCGGGUCUGCCGCCAUACCGUACGAGCGUGCGACCGUUGAACCAGCCCAAGACGGCGCACAGAGCAGGAUGCAGGGGCACGCGUAAUCAUCACCAGGCUACCGAGAUGGGAUGGCUCGAGGCCACGCCGGUACGGAAGCCUCGAGUAGGUCAGCGCUCCAUGCUUCUAUCGACCCCUAUUCUGACACCUAUACAUGUACCCUGGGUCCCUCCUUGGUGCUAUAAAAGGAAGGACUCGGGAAUAGAUAGAAAAAAGACACCACACUCAUACGCAGUAGAACUUACACACUUCAUUCCAUGCUUGUAUUCGCCCCUGUACAAGCACUUCGGUGCAAGAUAAUACAAACUUCCCUCCCCCGCUGGACGUAGGGCCUUCUUUUGCCCGAACCAGGAUAAAUCUUUGUUCCUUCUUGCAUCACCAUCUGGGAAAGGGAGCACGCAUACAAAAUUACUCGUUGGUGUGACCCCCCGGGGGGAAAACACCGACAGUUGGCGCGCCAGGUAGGGGUCCUGCGUGUUUUUCCACGGGCUCCGGCUCAUGUCCACGGGCUCCGGCUACGACAUGAUCUUGCUCUCGGUCAAAGGACCAGGAGGAACCCGCGUUGCACCAGCACGGUUGAGGGCCCCGAGACGCCCUCGCCACCACGCCUCCCCGCCCAAUAAGAGGCGCGGACAGCACCACCGCCGCCCCUCUGCCUCAUCAUGACCGACAACUCGUGCGAGGCAGGAGGUGGGCCACGAGCCGGCAGCACCAUGUGCCGGAACCGCGGGCACGACGGCUCAACACCGCACGACGACGGGAGGGGACGUGUAUCGCGCGCCCUCCCCCACCGCUGCAAAUCUACUUCCACAUGGGUUGUUCACUCUAAGAAGGGCACUGCCAUUCGGAUUGGACAACGCCGCGGCAUCGCUCGCCAGAGCAAUAUGCCCAAAUGCCCAGACGUACGUGGAGAGACCAAUGGUCCUCCCACGUGACUCUGAAGCACUACGGCCGACGUCCGAACUGCCGAAUUUCUCCCAGGUGCGAGACCUCCGCCGCCUAGGCCCUGGGUGAUACACGAUCACCUCACUCAGGCAGCGGCUACUGGAGGAGGGACGUGGAUGCUUCUACGCUGCCGAGCCAGACUCCGACUCCGAGACUGAUAGCUACGACCCUACGAGGGAAUGCUAUCACGUCGACAGGGCGGUAGAAACUACCGACAAGACGCAGGAUGCUGCUGCGGGCCGUCGAGCCCCUGCAGCACGGGAAGACCCCAGGACGCCUGGGAACGACGAACAGGUCGACCCCCUUCCACAGGAAGACAAGGCUGCACAGCUUGCACAGCUACGAGAGCUCAAGAUGAACCUCGACGAAGACCGUGAGCGCCUCAUCCAGCUUGAGCAAAUCCUUGAGCAAGACCUGCCCUACCCGCCGGGCGGAAGCGUCCGCAGACGCACUCGAGAGGUACAUCGACAAAUCGUCGGAGACGCAGAGCCAGAACAGCCUGUCAGCCGUUUCCCUCGAGCUGGCCAGAAUGUAGUGGCAGCGACGAUGCUAUUGCGUAACAUGCCAGAACCAUCGAACUCCCAGGCUCGACGCAUUCAAGACGAGGUACAGACUCUGCUCCAGGUAGCGGUGAAAGCUGACAGGGAUGAGCAGCCACUGAAAAGCGCGAUGAGCAGCCCCAUAACGAAAAAGAGGUGUCAGUCCAUCAACAGCCUCCCCCUCGAGGAAGAAAGACCACUCUCGUCCUCCCUGUCGACAAUCAGCGUCAACACGACGCGCGACAUGACAUCGAAGAGAACCGACGCCGUCGGUAUGGGGAUUCGGAAGAGCACGGUUACAGCGCCCAUCGCGGUGGAAGGUACGACAGCGACGAGGACCUGGUGGCCCCCGUGCCACCAGGCCCACGGGUGUUCAGCAGGGCGAUCCGCAGCACACCCCUACCCAGUCCAUUCCGACCCCCGACCAGCAUCGCGAAAUACAAUGGCGAGACCAAACCAGAGCUGUGGCUGGCCGAUUUCAGGCUGGCCUGUCAACUAGGAGGCACUCGAGGAGAUGAUCGAGCCAUCAUCAGACAGCUACCACUCUUCCUCUCCGACACCGCCCGUCGUUGGCUCGAGGAGCUUCCAGCAAAUCAGAUCCACGACUGGGUCGAUUUGGUUAAAGUCUUCGAGGGUAAUUUCAAAGGGACCUACAUACGGCCCAGGAACUCGUGGGACCUUAGCAAAAGCAAGUAGAAGUCAGGAGAAAAUCUUCGAGAGUAUGCUCGACGCUUCUCAAAGCAGCGCACCGAGUUGCCACAUAUCCCUGACCAUGACGUCAUCCUGGCCUUCGUCUCUGGUACCACCAGUCGAGACCUGGUACGAGAAUUGGGCCGGAAUCGCCCUCAGACCGUCGAUGAGCUAAUGGACGUAGUAGCAAACUACGCAGCAGGGGAGGAGGCAGUCGGCGCUUUCUUCAGUUGUGAAGGAAGGAAAGGCAAGCAUCCCGUCGAUGAAGAUGGGACCCCAGUCGAGGGCUCAAAAAGAACAAGAAGAAGCAGAAAGCGUGCCAGUUCCAACGGGAGGAUUUCGACGACAACCUUGUCGCCGCCAUGGAACGGAAGAAACCUCGAGGCCCUCCGGAUGGAGGCAUUUUCGACAAAAUGCUAGAAGAGCCGUGCCCUUACCAUAAGGGAGGCGCCAACCACAAGCUCAAGGACUGUCGUAUGCUGAAAAGGCAUUUCGACGGUCUAGGGUUCAAAAGGGAUGCGCGUGACGAUUCCAAAAAGGAGAAGGGCGACAACAAGGAGGACAACAAAGAUGACGACGGUUUCCCCACCGUCCACGACUGCUACAUGAUCUAUGGUGGGCCCUCGACACAGUUGACCACGAGGCAGCGCAAGAUGGAACGCCGUGAGGUCUUCGCGGCAAGAAUGGCGGUGCCCCAGUACCUCAGCUGGUCGAGCACUCCCAUCACCUUCGAUCGAGAGGACCACCCCGACAAGGUAGUCGCCCCAGGCGUCUACCCGCCCGUCGUCGACCCCAUCAUAGUCAACACCCCCUCGGGGGCUACCAGGGGGGCGACCCCCACCCAAGUGUCGAAAAAAGCCAAAAAUUUCUCUCUUUCUUACUUACUAAACCUUGCAUGAUCGAGUAGUUGAGGCGCCUCAAGCCCCUUAAGGGCCGAGGGAUAACGAGCCUGAGAACUCCUAUGCCCCCGGGCUAUGGAAACUCUACUCACUGCCUCACCCUCGAGGUUAUCGAAGCCGUCUUUUACGAAAAAUUAAACAAGGAACACAUACGUAGGCGCAAAGAGAAAUAAAAGGACCUCGAGCGGAAAGACAAAUAAACAUUUAACAAUUACCAAAAGAUACUGUAUCACUUAAAAACAGGAUUAACAAAGUAUUAUACAAGGGGCCCCAGGCACCCUAAGCAGGCUCGCAGGCCUCAGUCCACGGCACGAUCCUCACCACCAUCGCCUCCGCCCGAGCUAGUCUCAGGAGGAAGCACCUCAGGCUCAAACAGCUUGGCCAGCCUCUCUCUAGGAGCCUUCGCGUCGUCGAUCAAGGCGUGGAGCCUCUCUUCGUUCUCCGCGUCAGUCUUAGAUAUGUUAGUGACGAAGCCAUGGGACACUACCUCCAUGUCGUAGGAGAAGCCGGAGCAGACAACCGCCAUCGCCCGCUUCACCCUGAUGUGUAGGGCAUCCCGCACCCGAUCUCUUAGCGUCGCGCCUAAGUAGCACAGCUGGUCGACCAGUGCGUUGCCUCGAGUGUCCUCCUUUGACUCGUCCACAGGCUCGACCUCCCAAGAGGUCGAGAGGUCGUUUAUCGCCGUCCGCACACGACGGUUCAAAGCAACCUCCGCCUCGAGCUGGGCCUUAGCAUUAUGGGCCUCGACUUGGGUGGCUAGGAGUUCGUCCUUAAGCCCUGUAAAUACCAAUACAAGAAACCUUAGGAAAAACCAAGCACACCUCAAAAAAGAAGUCCGACAAAGGAAACAUACCACGGACACUCUCCUCCAGGGCCGUGUUCUCGCCGACCAGUCUAGUGUUGGCCCUCUCGAUAUCUCUAUUGGAGCGUGCCAGCUCAGUAUUGGCGACGCGGAGAUCCUCGAUCGCCUUGCCAGCCUGAGCAAUGGCCCCACCUUUCUCUAACACCUCUCCCUUCAAACGUUCAACGUCGUCAGAGAGCCUGCGGGAUCGAGCCCGCUCCGCCUCGAGAUCUUCAAGGGCCUUCUUCUUGGCUUCCUCCGCGGCGCUCCUGGCGAUCUCGCCGUUCACGUGCUCCACCUUCAUCUUUUGGAAGGACUCCUGGAGGGAGUCCAGGUCAGUCUUGAGAAGGCCCUUCUCCUUGUCCAGGUCUGCAAUGACGCUCUUAUAGGACAGGGCCUCCUCCCGGGCUUUGGACGCGGCCUCCUCGACUGUCAGAGACCGCUCCCGCAGCAGCGUCGUCUCCUCUUCCGCCUUUCUUGAGGCCUCACGAGCCUCGGCCAAGGCAGCCUCCCUCGCCUUCUUCUCCUCCUCGAGCGCUAUGAGGUCUUUAUAGGCCUUAAGGAGCUUCUCUUGCGACUCGAGGAGUUGGUCCUUGAGGACGAGGAGCUGCUCCCAGCUGCCUCUUGUGGCGUGGAUGAAGCUCGACUUGAUGCGGGAGGUCUCUUUCAUGUCCUGCGUGCCGGGGGUCGAACGGUUAGAACACAAAACCAAAAGGCCCCAUGAGGAUUAAAGAUCGAAAAGCACUUACAAAAUAAGCCGGCCCGAGCCCGUUGUUGAUAAUGUCCGACAGGAGCCCCACCACAUGCUUCAUCCAAAGGCAGAGCUCCUCGACAUGCUCCCACUUCUCGGCCUCUUUCUUAUCAUCGAGGAAGAUGUUGGGCUCGGACGGAUCGGUAGAAGCCCGGAUACGAAUCCAAUCGGGGCACCAGUUCUCCAUCUCUCGAUCUGCCCGCGCCUUGACGUCGCGGAUAAGGUUUUCGACGGUCUCGAGGGAGCCCCCAUGGCGCAAGAACAGGUCGACGAGGCAUGGGAACCACCCGUCGUCGUCCACCGUCUUCCAGGUACCGUCCUGGCUUCCCGACGUCUCGAUCUCGUCCUCCUCAGAAGGAAAACGAUCCUCCCACGCUCGACGCUCCCGGAGGAAACCUGGGGCGAUCCCGUCCAUGCCGUAGAUCGUCCUCUUGAUCUCGGACUCGGGGUCGGUGGGGGUGCGCAUCAUGCAGGCAAGCGCCACCACACCAUCCGCUCGCCCUGGCUCUGCCCAGAUCGCGGCGGGCGCCCCCGGAAGGAGCCAUGCUGGGGUCGGAGGGCCGUAUACCGGCAAAUCUUCCUCCAGCUCGCCGGGCUCUUGCGGCGCCGGUGGUACUGGUUGGGCCAAACCUCGAGGCGGGGGCUCGAGCGGUCCUUCCUCUUGACCCCCCUGAUCCUGCUGCUGCUGCUCCUGCUGAUGCUGCUGUUGCUGCUGCUGCUACUGCUGCUGUUGCUGCUUCUGCUGCUGCUGCUCUUGCUGCUGUUGCCGUUGCUGCUGUUGUCGCCCACCGUGUUCCUGCGACUCUUGUCGGCGGCCUUGCUCCUGCGGCAGCCGCGUUGCCUCGUGCCCCCGCUCCUCAUCCUCCUCCUCUUUCUUCUUCUGCUCCUCGAGGGCGCGAAGACCAGCGGGCCAGGGAGUCUGUCCCGCGAUGAGGGAGGUCCACGCCUCCUCCUCCAUAGGGUGGGCAUCCCCCGACGUCUCGUUGCCACCCGACAUGUCUCUGAUGGUAAUGGGGUCCGCCUCGACCCCCAAUCGGGGAGGCUCGGGGGCUCCUUCUUGCCCCUGAGUCUGGGGCACCUCGACCGGCGUCGGCGGCGAUGGGGCAGGCUCGGGACAAGGCAGAGCCCUCUCAGCGUCGGCCAGAGGACGAGAGUCGGAGGAGCCUGCAAAACAAAGAAUAGAGGCCGGUCACUAUAAUGACCAACGCAGGAACGUCAAAAGACCAGAAGUAAGCUGCAAACCUGGCUCCUUGGAGAUUGCUCCCGCCUUGACCUUUUUCGCCAUGGAAGGCUGGGCCUGCUCGAGUGUCCGCUUUAGCCUGAAGAAAAGAAAGGGAUGAGCGUAAAAAGAUCGGCGUAUGAGAAAAUGCAGAGGAAUAGGAAAAUAAAAGUCAUAACGUCGAAGAAGCUUACCCCACAGGGAGAACGGCUCGCCUCCCGGCGCCCCGACCGGUGGGUCUCGAGCCACCCCGCGUCAAGGCUCCAGGCCCCUCGAGGACAGGCGCUGGCCUCGGCGCAGCAACUCCCGCUUGACGGGCACCGGGACUAGCGCUCCUGCGGCCGGCCUCUCCUUUCUCGGAGGCCGUGGCGCGACCGCGAGUCAGCGGCCCCGUCGCCUGGGGCCUAGCAAGGUUGCCCCCCCUAGGCGGCGGGGGAGGGCGCGGCGCGACCUGACCAGUCAUGGGCGCAGGAGGGGUGUCGGCCCGAGGCGCCGGGGGAGGGCGCGGCGCGACCCUCCUUUGGAACUUCCAUCCAAGGGACAUCGACGUCGCCACGGGGCGGACCCUCGAGGAUCCGGUCAAGGCGAGACGCCAUCCCCUCAGAAUCGUCGCUGUCAUCGUCAUCGUCAUCAUCUUCGCUGGGGGAUUCUUCCUCAGGCUCCCCCCUCUGCUUGGAUUUAGCUCGACGCGCAUCUAAUGCUUGGCGGUCGAGGUUCUUCUUUUUCGCCCCUUUCUUUACAGAGUCCUUGGCGGAAUUCAGCUUUUCGGCGGACUGGCGCCGUCUGUCGCGAUCGACCUCAUCCUCCUUCACAGGGGGCCUCGAGGACCGGACAUCGAUACGUCCCUGCCAGAACAAAGGAAUGAUUAAAAAGGAUUGAGAGAAAUCAAGAAUCGGAGCUAUGCGCGAGAAAAGAGCAUACCAAGUCGAUCGAGCCUUCGUCGGGCCUCAUGGGGAAGCCGUUGACAUGCUUCGACUUAAAGUCACCAGCGAUGGCCGCCCUAACUCGGGCAGCGGUCUCCUCGUCCGCCAGAGCCUCAUUGGACAUCUAGCAUGCCUCGAGAUCCCAGGACGAUACGCCCGGCCCCAUCUCGUCCAUCCUCAACGGCCGAGACAUCAAAGGGAGGACCCUUCGACGAUGAACGGCCGAGAGGACGAGAGCGGUGGACAGGCCCUCCAGGCGCAGCUUCUUCAUGGCGUCGAGGAGGGGGUCGAGCCGCGACUGGUGCUCUUGGACGACGCCGUAUGUCCAGUUGUCCGGGCGCUCCGUAAUCAGACGACCGGUGUAGGCAGGGAAGAGACCGUCGUCGUUUCCUCAGAUAGAACCACUGCGAGUCCCAUCCGGCAUGGUUCGAUGACAACCCCACCGGGAUGUACUCGCGCAGCCUCUCCGUCUUCUUCGUCUUCAACACCAGGUUGAGGCACCCGGCUCGCACAUGCUUCCUCACGCUAGUAGUUCCGGUGGGAGCGUUGAAAAGCUCGCCCCUGUAGAGGUGGAGCCAUAGAUCCCAGUGGGGCAUCAUCCCCAGAUAGCCCUCACACACCGCGGUGAAGACCGCCGCGACGGUUAUGGCGUUCGGGGAGAAAUGCUGGAGCUCCACCCCAUAGUGGAAGCAGAGGGCCCGCAUGAAGCGGCUCGGGGGAGCGCCCAGGCCAUGGCGGUGGAAUUUGGCGAACGACACCACAUAGCCCUCAGGCGGCUGGGGCUCCCUGUGGCCCGCCGGCGGCGCGAUCCACUCUGGCGACGACAGCGAGGUGCGGCGGCGCAACAGUCCCUCACUCUCAAGCUCUAGCAACCGGCACACCGGCAUCGACGACGGGCGCCAGUCGUCGGCGGCGAUGAGUGUCACAGGCAUCUUGGCUGGAAGGACGGUGGAUUCGCUACCGCUCGAGGGGGUGCAUGUGCGCGUAAGACGGCAAGACAGCUAAGGCAACGAAAGGGUGAAAGCAAGAAGGCAGAAGGAGGGAGAAAGAACGACGGCGGUGCCACGGCGUAUUUAUAGGCAGCAGUCCGCCAACGGACAGAUCCGAGAAAUGAGGUAACUCCCCCCAUAAAUGCGCCAUCUAACAGUCUUUCCCCCCUCACAGGCGAGGCGCUCUGAAUUCCACGCCGACGCAGUGUCGUAACAUCAUCCACCUGAAAAGGCGCGCCCAACGGGCAAAAAGGCGAACCGCAGCGGCCACUUCCUUCCAUUGUAAGCCAAGGGGCGUACUCGCGAAAGCCUCGAGAGGUCGCAGGCUGGCCCACCGAAAGGGUUCGACAGCCGAUCUCAAGCACCGGAGUCAGGGAUCCCCAGCGAGCAGUCGAAGAUCGAGGCCCGCCUCGAAGACUCGCUGGCGAUGUCCAAGGUAGGGACGAGACAGUAUAGAGGGAUCCCCCCGACGGGAGGCAUCGAGCCACUGGACUCUAUCGAAUGAGACCAGUACCCCCGACCACGUCAACCCCGCUUUAUGAGAACGCCUCUGGGCUACAGCUGACCCCCUCGAAAGGGGAACAGGUUCUCACUUGGACUACCGGCUAGGAACUCAAUCUGGGGGGAAGACGCUCGCUCUAUCGAGAGUACGUCAAAACCUCCGCGCAAGGAAAGCCAAUCAGAACCUUCCAACAUUGGUGUCGAUAGCGUUUCUGCAAAUUAGGCAAAAUAACCCUCGAAGGAGUCAAAAACUCCUCCAAGGGCUCGGGGGCUACCCCCGCGGGGUCGCUCGCGCGCCCCCACGGAAAUUCGAGCGCAAAACAAAGCCUCCACUCGAGCGCCAGCGCUCAAAUGGAGACUCAGGGGCUACUAUCGAGGGUAUCAGUAAGGGGUACCCUCACCGACGCACAUAACGAGAUUGUCCGUACGCAGGUCGAGGCCCUCAACUCGACGCUCUGGUCAUACGUAUGCAAAGCCAUCGACGGCCGCAGCCUCGAAGACGGAAAUGGCGUCGAGCGAAUCGAUCAAGGGUCGAGUGCCAGCUACCGUCGAAUACGGAAAUAGGCAUGAGCGAAUCGAGGAGCGUCGAGCGCAAGGACACUGUCCGCCGCCUGACGCGCGCACGAGAGCCAGGACAUUUAAUGCGCCCGGCGCAUUCCCACCUAACACACUGGUCAUGGGAGGCGUGAUAACAGGCACCCGUCCCAUCGUUCUUUUUGCAGCCUUCCCCACCAAACGACCCAGGGCGUGUCAGGGCGCGGGAAACGGGGAUGGAACGUCUAAUCGGGACCUCCUCGAGGUAACCAAGGUCAGCGCUCCGGAUAACAGGGCAUUGCACGGCGUCCGGCCCUCGACCAGACACGGUUCCUUCCUGGAGACGAGUUGGACGUCGACUGACAACAUCAUAACCACCCCGCCGGGUGUGCCGCCAUACCGUACGAGCGUGCGACCGUUGAACCAGCCCAAGACGGCGCGCAGAGCAGGACGCAGGGGCACGCGUAAUCAUCACCAGGCUACCGAGAUGGGAUGGCUCGAGGCCACGCCGGUACGGAAGCCUCGAGUAGGUCAGCGCUCCAUGCAUCUAUCGACCCCUACUCUGACACCUAUACAUGUACCCUGGGUCCCUCCUUGGUGCUAUAAAAGGAAGGACUCGGGAAUAGAUAGAAAAAGAAACCACACUCAUACGCAGUAGAACUUACACACUUCAUUCCACGCUUGUGUUCGCCCCUGUACAAGCACUUCGGUGCAAGAUAAUACAAACUUCCCUCCCCCGCUGGACGUAGGGCCUUCUUUUGCCCGAACGAGGAUAAAUCUUUGUGCCUUCUUGCAUCACCAUCUGGGAAAGGGAGCACGCAUACGAAUUUACUCGUUGGUGUGACCCCCGGGGGGAAAACACCGACACAAGCUUAGUGUCCUAAAACAAGCACUGAUCAGAUCGUAACAUGACUGUUAAUUAUUUGCAACAUUACCUUGUGUAUUGAGCAUAUAAGGAUAAUUGUAAAAAUAUUCCAUCGGGUAUUCUUGUCGCUAACCUUUCUAGGAUUGGAGCAAGAAGAUCGGAUGAAUGACAAGCACAAGGUAUGUCCAACCAAUCAUCAUACAACAUUGAGUUAAAUUCAUCCAAACUUGAAUUUUGCAAAAUUCAAGCUUGGGGAGUACUUUACAUAAAAACAUCCUUUGCCAUGUUCCUAUGUUGGUUGUCCCUACCUUUGAGACAUGCUUAAUUUGUUAAAUACUAAUCACACUAGUUCAUCUCAACUUGAGUAGAUCUCUAUAAAUGCUCUCAUGCUACCUUAAUUUGCUUUAGUAUAUAUCUUGGUUUGGAGUACAUUCAUUUAUCUCUUAAUUAAGCAUGGUGCUUAGUUUAGGAAUGAUGAUCUUACUUCCAAGGGAUUUUAAAUUAAGCAUGGUGCUUAGGUAAAAAUGCCCUCCUAAAAUCAAAUUAGACAUGGUGUUUAGGUUGAUUUUUGAGCCAAUAGUAUGCUAUAGUAGAUAUUGGAUAUUUUGUUGGACUAACCCCUACAGGAAAACUUUCAAUAUUGACCUGGGAAGUCCUGAGAUAAACUCAUAUUGGAGACAAAGAGAGAGACACAUGAAGUUUAACAAUUUACACAAGGAAGACAUAGCUCAUAAGAGAUGAUGCUUGGAGGGUGCCACAAACACGAUACACAACCGCUAAGAAAGGAAAGCUUCCACAAGGUGAUAGUGUACCAUCACUCUUCAAGUAAGGUAACAUCUUAAGGUACUUGACUAUCGCUUUUAUAAGCUUCUCCUUGGUUCUGGCGUUCACAUGAAUAAAAGAGACAAACAUGUAUGAUUUGUAACUCCAAAUUAACCAACCCAAUUAAUACAACAUGUUUAGUCCUUUAAUCUUUGUUCUUAGUACUACCUUCGUAAUCCCACACUUCUAAUCAUAUAAGCUAAAAUGUUGCACAUUCAAUCUUUGGAAGAUAUAAACAAAACAUAAAUAUAGAUAGAUUAUCUUUCUAUUAGGUCGAGCGAUCUGAUCUGACAAAUGUUUUAAAUGCUACACUCAUGAUCUUGUUAUCCAUCAACUUUGUCUUGCUCUCUUUGCUUAAGAAGAACAAAUACACUUUUGGUUCUGUUGGUGUUUGUCACCAACAAGGCCCAUGCACUUGAUCUCUGACUUAUGAGCAGGUACACUUCGAGCAAAACCUGAAGGAGUUUUACAACUCCCAGAUUCUUCCAAGUGAAGGACCUAGAUCUACGAGCACAAACACACUGGAGAUACUGGACACUGAGGAAAUAACUACCCUGAGAUGCUUGAGGACAUAAAUUACAUCAACAACAACUACUACUACUACAACUGUCCUCAACAAAAUCAAGGUUGGAAUCAACAGAGGCCUAACUACUCAGCUUGCAGAUCGGACACUAAGUUUCCUAAAGGAAAUAUUGAAGAACUUCUACGUCCGAGUUGGUACCUUGUACGCUCCAGCAGAGUUCAUGGUGAUAGAGACUAGUACUGAUGAGAGGGUACCCAUCAUCCUAGGGAGGCCAUUCCUGAACACCUCGAGAGCUGUCAUCUACGCUAGUGCUGCCAAGAUCAGUUUCUACAUCAAGGAGAAGAAGGAGACUUUCCCUCAAGAACAAGACUACACAAAUUUCAAAGCAAUCCCGACAUGAACCAAGGAAGAGGACCAACGGGAGGAACAGGAACAAGCAAAUGUGGACCGAGUCAGCUAAGAUGGUCACUGCAGCUCAAUGAGGUCAAGAUCGUCGACUUAAGUCACCAUUCCUGACAAAAAAAAGGAUGACCCAGGUUAUUGAUAUGGGAGAAGACGAGUACGAUCCACCCAUCAUCCUUGGGAGACCAUUCCUCGGCACCGUUAAAGCAAUCAUGUACAUUGGAACCGGAGAAGUCCACAUGCACUUCCCCUCUGAGAAGACGACGCAACCGCAACCAGAGGAGGCAAAUCAUCAAGGACGGAUGGGCAGAUUAUGAAGGAGAAGUGGUAAGGUCUGAAGACAUACAGCUUGAACAGAACUGUCCUGAGGAGACCGUAGCACCGAGUCAGGUAUGGAGAGAGAAGAUAGUUAUACACGAAGAGGAGGCGCCGCCGGAACCACCGACUACGCCAUUCAGCGAAUCCCAGGACGACUGAGAAAAUGGAUAGUGUAACACUCCUAGUUUUAGCUUGCAUGUUAACCAUGAGCAUUGCAUCAACACAAGCAUCAUCAUGCUCAUUCAUAAGUAUCUAUCAUGAUCACAUGUCAUCUUAUGUAUACCAUGUAUGAUUGAAUUGCUUGUGUGACUUGAAUUGAGUGACUAUAAGGGGUAACCAAUGCAAACAAGUGUACAUUGUCUUCCAAAAUACUUCAAUCAUGUUUAGAAUAUCAUUUGGAACAAAGUUCAUGUGGAGGGUUUUGGCCAAAAAUGCCCCUAGGUUAGGGUUAAACCUAGAAUGACAUAAUUGACCCAUUAGACCUCCUUUCAAAGAUGUUUUAUGAAACUGGUGUUAGAGACCUUGCAUGUCUUUGACACCUGAAACAAAGUUGUAGAGAAUUUCAUAAGCUACAAAAGUUAUGUUGAUGACUUUUUAUGAAAUAGCAUAGAACACAUCUAAAAAUUGCUCACAAGCCAAAAAUCAGGGCUGCUUUCAUACUUAGCCGAAUUUGGCUAAGUGUUGGAUCACGCAGUUUCGACCAAGGGUGAUUGGGAGCCUUGUAGAUUGAAAUCCAGACCGAGUUAGACUUUGAUCUUGUAAUCAAAGUUGUAGAACUCGUGUAGCUCUGUCCAGAGGAUCAAAUCCUAGCCAAAACCAUCGAUCGAGCUGAGAGUAAAACGUUGACAAAGUUCGGGUUUCAGUCAUUGUUGGCGACGACUGAAUCGCGUGAUUCAGUUUCGUCAUAAACGGUCCGCCGCCGCGUGUCCGGCCAGGUGUCGGCCGUACGCCGUCGACGACCCCGCUGUUGACGGUCCUUAAUGCUCACAAUUAACCAUCAACUAAUCAUAGAAAAGGAUCCAAAUACAACCAACACCUAGACUUAGGGUUUUAUCUGACAGAAUUCCACAAGUUUUGGUGUUUGUCUAUUUCUGCAGGGGGUUAUCAGGAAAUACGGAAGAAAGGCCCACACGUUGGGUUUACAUAGAGAUAUUAACGUGCCGCGCAAUUUUCUAUCAUCCAGAAGACUCCAGAAGCCAUGGGACCGAAGCGGAGGCCGAGAGGACACAGGGACAGGGCGCCCGCCCUCAGCCAGAGUCCAAUCAGGACUCUCUUUCGGGAUAUUGCUCCACCGACCUAAAGGAUCAACAAUAACCGUUCAAUCAAUGUCGGUUUGAUCCGACAGCCCAGAUUUACUUGAAGGGACUAUAAAACCAGACCCCCCUGGCCCCUGGAGAUCAUACCUCUUCUACAGAAUCAAAGUUAGGGUUUCAAUUCUUCAUCCAAGUAGAGAGGAUCCCUCUAGUUCUUCUAGUUCUACCUCUAGUUCAUCUAGAUCUAGUUCUAGUUCAUCUAGUUCUAGUUCUAGUUCUUCUAGUUCUAGUUCUAGUUAGUUCUAGUUGUAAUCUACAAAAUAUGGAGAGAGAAGAGGAGAGCGGAGAAGGAGGAGCCGGAUCUGUCGGAUCUUCCUCAACAUUGUACUUUUGCAGCGACAGUUAUCGUGACUUCAUCGUUCUCCAGGUUCUUCAAUUCAUAAUUCCUAGAGUUCUUUAAAUACUUUUAUUUACAUUCAAGUUAUUUAUUGGAUUCCCGCUUGCAUCAAGUGCUCUAGUCUUUAUAACGCUAGAGUAGUAAUUAAUAGAUUAGACGUGGUGUUUAGUCUUGCAAUUACCUGGAAUUGCACCCAAUCCCACGGAUUGUUGUGGUAGCCCUAGGGUAGUGACAGCCCUAACGGUCGACGUAUUCCACCACGUUCGGAUCGGUGUUUGUAGGACCGUAGUCAGACCUUCCUAGCCCCCUUCUCAUCUCUUUCUGUGGUUAGUGCUCUGAUGUCCCAAUAUAGAUAAUCUUGAAGUAAUUCUUGAUUCUUAGAUCCACUAGAGAACUCUCAGGAAACUUCCUCUCUUCCCACCAAAAACAAUUAUAUAGUUAUCCUUAGGCGAUCUUGGAUCUUAAUUAGUACACUCACGUCCCCUGUGGAAAAUCGAUACUCUGGAAUACUCCUGGGUGAAGGCUACAUCGGUAUCCGUGCGCUUGCGGAUUUUUCUGUUUGCGUUUAAAAUACCCAACAAGCUUUCUGGCGCCGUUGCCGGGGAACGGUAGCUGUGCUAGUUUCGAACCAAGUCGUCCGUGUAUCCUUUUUCUUUUCCUUUUUUACCACACUCACCUUAUCAUUUUCACCAUACCACAUGGAUUUCACUCUAAGCAUUAAUGAGCAUGGAAUUUAUUUCAUAGCCACUUCAUUUACUCCAUGCUCAUAUGCAACAUCUUCACAAUCCAUUGGUUUUUCCAACAUCACCACAUUCGAGAUCUCCAACCCCCUCAUUCUUUCUAUUUAUAAAAACUUUAAAAGGGCGGUUGUCGAUGCAUAUGUCUAUAAUAAAUUUUGCAGAUCUCGUUGAGUUGAUCUUGAUAUAGGUCAGCGUUGGAGGGGAAACCACUUCGCCGACAUAAAUUGAUGGUUUCCCAAGGACAAGCUUAGUGUCCUAAAACAAGCACUGAUCAGAUCGUAACAUGAGCUAUUAAUUAUUUGCAACAUUACCUUGUGUAUUGAGCAUAAAAGGAUAAUUGUAAAAAAAUUCCUUCGGGUAUUCUUGUCACUAACCUUUCCAGGAUUGGAGCAAGAAGAUCGGAUGAAUGACAAGCACAAGGUAUGUCCAACCAAUCAUCAUACAACAUUGAAUUAAAUUCAUCCAAACUUGAAUUUUGCAAAAUUCAAGCUUGGGGGAGUACUUUACAUAAAAACAUCCUUUGCCAUGUUGCUAUGUUGAUUGUCCCUACCUUUGAGACAUGCUCAAUUUGUUAAAUACUAAUCACACUACUUCAUCUCCAUUUGAGUAGAUCUCUGUAAAUGCUCUCAUGCUACCUUUAUUUGCUUUAGUAUAUGUCUAGGUUUGGAGUAGUUUCAUUUAUCUCUUAAUUAAGCAUGGUGCUUAGUUUACGAAUGAUGAUCCUACUUCCAAAGGAUUUUAAAUUAAGCAUGAUGCUUAGGUUAAAAUUCCCUCCUAAAUCAAAUUAGACAUGGUGUCUAGGUUGAUCUUUGAGCCGAUAGUAUGCUAUAGUAGAUAUUGGAUAUUUUGUUGGACUAACCCCUGCAGGAAAACUUAAAAUAUCGACCUGGGAAGUCCUGAGAUAAACUCACAUUGGAGACAAAGAGAGAGACACAUGAAGUUUAACAAUUUACACAAGGAACGCAUAGCUCACAAGAGAUGAUCCAUGGAGGGUGCCACAAACACGAUGCACAACCGCUAAGAAAGGAAAGCUUCCACAAGGAGAUACCGUACCAUCACUCUUCAAGUAAGGUAACAUUUUAAGGUACUUGACUAUCACUUUUAUAAGCUUCUCCUUGGUUCUGGCGUUCACAAGAAUAAAUGAGACAAACAUGUAUGAUUUACAACUCUAAAUUAACCAACCCAAUCGAUUCAACAUGUUCUGUCCUUCUACCUUUGUGAUCCCACAAUCCUAAUCAUAUGAGCUAAAAUGUUGGCACACUCAAUCUUUGGAAGAUAUAAACAAAAACAUAUAUAUAGAUAGAUUAUCUUUCCAUAAGGUUGAGCAAUCUAAUCUGACGAAUGUUUUAAAUGCUACACUCAUGAUCUUAUUAUCCAUCAACUGUGUCUUGCUCACUAUGCUUAAGGUUAGAGAAGAACAAAUACACUUUUGGUUCUGUUGGUGUUUUCCACCAACAGAGCCCAUGCACUUGAUUUCUGCCUUGUCUCUAUGAGCAGGUACACUUUGAGCAGCAUAUGAAGGAGUUUUACAACUCCCAGACUCUACCAAGUGAAGAACCUAGAUCUACGAGCACAAACACACUAGAGAUACUGGACACUUAGGCAAUCACUGCCCUGAGAUGCUUGAGGACGUAACUAGUGGAGUAACCCCACUGUGGAAGUAAUUACUGACCUUCUGCCGGUCAAGAGAUACAAUCCAGGACGUCCCGUCAUCCCGAUCUCCAUCGGCAUGGUGGACUUCCUAGAAGCACUCUGCAACUUUGGCUCCAGUAUCAACAUUAUGCUCAGGGUACUCUAUGAAAAAAUCUUUACACAUCCUUUCCUAGAAACAACCAUGUGUUUGCAGCUUGCAGAUCAGUCACUAAGUUUCCCAAAGAGAAUAUUGAAGAACCUCUACGUCCGAGUUGGUACCUUAUACGCUCCAACAGACUUCGUGGUGAUAGAGACUGAUACUGAUGAGAGGGCACCCAUUAUCCUAGGGAGGCCAUUCUUGAACACUUCAGGAGCUGUCAUCCACGCUAGUGCUGCCAAGAUCAGUUUCUACAUCAAAGGGAGAAAGGAGACGUUUUCCUUCAAGAAACAAGACUACACAAAUCUCAAAGCAAUCCCGACAUGAACUAAGGAAGAGGACCAACAGGAGGAACAAGAACAAGCAAAUGUGUACUGAGUCAGCUAAGAUGGUCACUGCAGCUCAAGGAGGUCAUGAUCGUCAACUCAAGUCACCUUUCUUGAUCAAGAAGGACGACCCGGGUGCUCCAAGCAUCGAGUGCACAGUCAACGGAUAUUCUUUUCAGACGACACUCUACGACACCGGAUCUAAAGUCAACAUAAUGGCCGCAGUCACUUAUCAGCUCCUGCAUGGAACCAUGUCCCUACAACCAACAUACAUUCAGCUCCAGAUGAUUUUAAGGUUAUUGACAUGGGAGAAGACAAGUACGAUCCACCCAUCAUCCUUGGAAGACCGUUCCUCAGCACUGUUAAAGCAAUUAUCUACAUUGGAACUGGAGAAGUCCACAUGCACAUCCCCUCUGAGAAGGUACGCCGCUAUUUUACUGACCCUAACUAUAUAGUUGAAGACUCUAAGCAGGUCAGGACAAGAAGAAGACGACGCAACCGUAACCAGAGGAGGAAAAUCAUAAAGGACGGAUGGGCAGACUACGAAGGAGAAGUGGUAAUGUCUGAAGACAUACAACUUGAAUAGAACUGUCCUGAGGAGACCGUAGCACCGAGUCAGGUGUGUAGAGAGAAGAUAGUUAUACACGAAGAGGAAACACCGCCGGAACCACCGACUACGCCAUCCAGCGAAUCCCAGGACGACUGAGAAAAUGGAGAGUCCCGUUCGGAGGACGUAAAAACACCGAACGCCUUGCCAAGAGGUAAACUUGGUAGUUAUUUUUUUCCCUUCAAUUAUUUAAAAUAGUUUGCUUAGUUAAUCAGGUUCAUCUUAAGAAGAAAAUAAAUGUUAAGAAUAGUAAGCCCCAUGUGAGUAUGCUCAUGGCAUAAAACCCAUAAGUACAUUCACUGUGGUGGCGUAAAAAUAAAAUAAAUAUAUUCCUGUCCUAUAAAAAUGAAAAUAUAAAAAUAAAUUUAUGAUCCUACCAAAGAAAGUAAUAUUUAUUGAGGAGGCUCAACAUGAUAAAGGCUAGAUAUUUAUGCUAACACUUAACGAGUUCCACAAAGCUUUGUUGUCUAUUUGAGCUCCACAGAAUUCAAGGAUCAAAGAAGACUAGCAGAUGGAGGACAUCCUAAUCGCUGUCAGGUGCUGCUGACAUUCAAAUACACCUCCACCACUUGCUAGCUACAUUAGAAGAAACUACGUCAAAAUCCAGCUUGGGGGAGAGCACCCCCAUUUAUCCAGCUAAGUAUUCUACUCACGUUUAUACUUUACUCUAAUAAUAAAAAGAUGCAUAAUCAUAGAAACCCAAAUAAAGAUUUUGUGCUUAUAUCUUUGCUUAGUUUGCUAAAUAAAUAAAUAAAAAAAAGUUUGCUAUGAAUCCUCAUGAUAAGCUCUCACAUGGAAAUGAUGAAUAAUUGCUCUGCCAUGGCUAGUUCUAAAAAUUGAAAUCUCUCUCAAGUUUAGGCAUGACUGGUAUUAAUUAAGAUUUGCUCUACACCUAAACUUGUGGGGAGAGUACUUGAUCUAAAGUCUAAGUCGUUAACGGAUACGAUAUGGGAAGGUUGAGCUGUUGUGUAUUUGUUCCUAGAGAUGCUAGAAUUCUGGAGAAUUUUAUCUUUGAAAAUCUUUAAAAUGUUGCAUGAUGAGUUCCUGUAUGAUGAGAGUUUAAAUUCCUACCACAGCCAGAUAUACAUGCUUGCUAGACUUUGAGCCACACAUUUACUUUUUACUGCUUAUGAGCAUUGAGUGUGGUCAAGCUGUGUAGACCCUUAGGAGCUUGUCAUGUGGUUAAGUCAAGAUUCACUUGCACGUUCAGUCAUACAUGCUACUUCUACUUCGGAAGUACGCAUCCACAUAUAUCCAUCCAUUUCCAUCUCCAGAACCACCAAAAAAUAUUCUACUCCUAAUCCGGGAGAGAAUAGCCAAAAACAUUUCUAUUUUCCCCUGUGAAAUAAAUGCUCAAGUUAUCUUGGUUACUACCACUUGCUAUAUUAUUUUAGGAGAUGAGUGCUCUAAAAAAGAAAGAAAAAAAGAAAGAAUACGAGGAAAUAAAAAGGGGCAAGUGCCCGGAACCUCGAAAGAAAAGAAAGAGUGAGACGAGAGGUAAAAAUGGACAAGUGUCCGACAGUAGAAUUAGGGGUACAAGAUACCCAACUGAGAGGAAAGAAAAAGAAAAUAUAGAGCAUCUCAUUCUCCUCAAAAAGUUUCAAAAGAGAAAGAAAGGUAUGUAUCCCCUCAAAAGAGCACAAGUAGAAUUAGACUUUCACCAUUGUUAUCACCAUCAUACACCAUUCAUUCGCCACACAAGUGUUGACGGUCCUUAAGUAUCAAAUUUAAUUAUCAAAUAAGUAAAGAAAAGGAUCCAAAUAAAAUCCACAUCCAGACUUAGGGUUUUAUCUGACAGAAUUCCACGAGUUUUGGUGUUUGUCUAUUUCUGCAGGGGGUUAUCAGGAACUACGGAAGAAAGGCCCACACGUCAGGAUUACGUAAAGAUAUUAACGUGCUGCGCAAUUAUCUUACAUCUAGAAGACUCCAGAAGCGACGAGACCGAAGCGGAGGCGAAACGGGGCCAGAGGCAGGGCGCCCGCCCUGUCUUACUGGGCGCCCGCCCCCUGUUGGAGUCCAAACAGGACUCUGCUUUGCGGGAAGUCUCCACCGACCUAAAGGAUGAAUCUAAACCAUACAAUCUAUGUCGGUUUGAUCCAAGGGCCCAUAUUCACUUGAAGGGACUAUAAAACCAGACCCCCUGGCCCCUGGAGGAGGGAACCUCUCAACCCUAAUUCAUUGUUCCAUCAAGGGAGAAGAAGCCUCUGAUCAAGAUUAGAGCCACCACAUCAAUUAGACAUCUAGAUUAGCAUAGCUACAUAGGAUUAGAACUAGAAGGAGUCAAUCUUCGAUUGGUUUCCGGAUCUGUCAAGAGGAUUCUUGGUAAUUCUCUAAUUGUGUUUCUAAUUGUUUUCGAAUUAUCUUUGUUCUUCAAUAUUAUGAAUAUGACUUUGUUCUACUUCAAUAUAUUGCUUAUGACUUUGCUCUACUUAUUUAUAUUCAAGAUUAUAUUGUUCUUAGUUUAUCAUAGUUAUGUACUUGGCUUAGUUAGAUACGAUCUAUAUACAUGCUUAGGAUCGUAUAGCGUUUAUCCAUCGGAUCUAUGGGUAAAUGAUAGAUAUUGUGUAGGCGUGGUGCUUAUACCGUAUUUAUCUGCGAUUGUACCCAAUAUGCCAGAUCGUGGGGUGGUUCGUGAUAGUGACAGCUUCAUUGAUUCUUAUAUAGUCCCCCUCUCGUGUAUUGGGCUGGCAGAGCAACAUUAUUACAGGGGAGUGAUUGCUAUGUUUCUCAUAUUCCUUGCUAAUAUCACUAUGCAUGGGCGUAGUCUUGUCUCGCAAUGAUUGCUAAGUAUGCUUGCACUAACUAUGAUAUGCUAGACUAUAUAGUUGAGAAUAACUUAGGGAAUAUUCUUGUAGUUCGUUCUAAUACCAUGCUAAUGACUUUCUAGAGUAUCUAAUUGAGGUGCUUAUCAUAUUUAUUAUGUGGCUAGAUCAGAUUAGUUAUCCUUGUCACUAUUAUUAUUUCAUACAUCUUUUAUGUGACACUUAUUCCUGUAUGAUGAGUUAGAUAUAAUGUUCUCAAUUAUACAUGCAAUGAUAGAUGCUCAAUCUCAUAUUCUAUUCUGUAAUCAUUAGUGAUGAUUUCUAAUCCCUUCCCAGUGGUAAAAAUAUAAAUAACGAUACCUGGAAUACUUCCCGGUUAAAAUGCUGCAUCGGUAUUAAUCUGUGCGCUUGCAGAUCCCAUUCAUUAUUUAUUUAGAAGAGCAAUUGCAUAUUUCAAUACCGCGUCUCUCAUGUCAUGCUGGGGAUGACAACUUGGCUUAAGUGGUGUGAGGGAUAGGUUUGGCAUUUUUGGCACCGUUAAUAGAUUUAGAGAACUUAGUCUACUUUUGGUAAUGAUGUUAAGAAUACCCAACAAGCAUUUUUGGCGCCGUUGCCGGGGAAGGUUGAUUACUAAUCAGGAAUGGAAUAAAAGAUUUUGAGUUAUCAUUCGCAUCACUAAUAUGAUUGAGCUUAUCUAUUCUCUCAUACAGUUUUACCCCGAUAUUUUUCUAUUUUAUCUUAUGCAGGGGAAUGUAUGAAUAGAAGACAUCUUCCAAGAAAUUUUGUUGACAAUCCUAAAGCAUUAUUCAAGAAGACGAGAGCCAAGCUAAAGAAAUCAUCAACACUUCACGAAGAAGCUUCAUCCAAUCAAGAAGAUCACCGGAACUUGUCUUCAGAGUUCGAAGCCAUGGCGAACAAAUCGAUCCGCGAGUUCUCAGCUCCCACUACGGACAACAUCUGCACUGGACCUGCUGCAGAGAUCGAUGGCAACUUUGAGCUCAAGCCUGGACUUAUCAACAUGGUGCAAUCCAACCAGUUCUGUGGGAAGGCACACGAAGAUGCUAGCGCUCAUUUACAACACUUCCUGGAGAUUUGCACACAUUCACCAUAGCAGGAGUUUCCAAAGACGCUAUACUACUUCGCCUCUUUCCAUUCUCACUGUUAGGAAGAGCGAAGCAGUGGUUCUACGCUACAAAGGAGAAGAAUACUACGUGGGCACUCUGCUCAAGAAACUUCCUGGCUAAGUUCUUUCCCAUGGGCAAGACCAAUGCUCUCCGUGGGAAGAUUACAAGUUUUCAGCAACAAAAUGAUGAAUCUGUUCUAGAAGCAUGGGAGCGCUUUCAAGACUACAUCCUAGAAUGUCCCCAUCAUGGAAUGGAGAGUUGGCUAUUGAUGCAGACAUUCUAUCAUGGGCUCAGCAACAGUGCCCGAGAGACCAUGGAUGCUGCAGCUGGAGGAGCAUUCUUAUCACUUACUAUACCACAAGCCACAGCUCUUGUGGAGAAGAUGGCGUCCAACCAAAGCUGGAAUGAAGAGAGGAGCCAGACACGCAAGAGAGGUGGAGGUAUGCAUCAGCUGAAGGAGGUAGACAUGUUGUCUGCAAAGCUAGACCUGCUCAUGAAGAAGCUCGACGAUAGAGCUGGAGACAAUAAAGAAGUUAUGCACAUCUACGACUCUCACAUGACUUGUGAGGAGUGUGGAGACACUGGACACUCAGGCAACCACUGCCCUGAGAUACUUGAGGAUGUGAACUACAUCAACAACAACAACAACAACUACUACAACCGUCCUCAACAAAAUCAAGGUUGGAAUCAACAGAGGCCUAACUACUCAGGUAAUUAUCAAGGUAACAAUUCUUACAAUAAUAAUAAUAAUUUUCCACCUUUGAGAGAGUUAGUGUCUAAUCAAGGAAAGCUAAUGGAUAAUCUAUCUAAGAAAUUGGCAUCUAAUGAUAAAAUGCUAGAAAUAUAAAUAAUACAAUGGAUAAUUUCUCUACUGCCAUCAAGAAUCAAAUUAGCUUUAAUAAAAUGAUUGAAUCUCAGUUAAAUCAAAUAGCUGCUGCUCUUCCUACUACUAACCCCGGUAUACCAUCACAACCGGAAGGAUUAGAAUCUGCAAAUCUUGUAGACAUGUUUGAUGCAGGUAAUUAGAGUAACCCCUUCAAUGAAUUUUCUACUGACCGUCUGCCGGUCAAGAGAGGCGAUCCAGGACUCCCCGUCAUCCCGAUCUCCAUCGGCAUGGUGGAUGUCCCUGAAGCACUCUGUGACUUUGGCUCCAGCGUCAACAUUAUACCCAGGGUACUCUAUGAAAAAAUCUUUAUAUAUCCUUUGUUAGAAACAACCAUGUGUUUGCAGUUUGCAGAUCAGACGAUAACAUUUCCAAAAGGAAUAGUGAAGAACCUUUGUGUCCGAGUUGGUACCUUAUAUGCCCCAGCAGACUUCGUAGUGGUAGAGACCGGAAAUGAUGAGAGAGCACCUAUCAUCUUAGGGAGGCCAUUCUUGAACACCACGGGAGCUAUCAUCUACGCCUGUGCUGCCAAGAUCAGUUUCUACGUCAAGGGGAAGAAGGAGACAUUUUUCUUCAAAAACAAGACUACACAAAUUCCAAAUCAAUCCAGACGUAAAUCAAGGAAGAGGACCAACAGGAGAAACAGGAACAAGCAAGUGUGGACCGAGUCAGCUAAGAUGGUCACUGUAGUCCAUGGAGGCCAAGAUCACCAACUUAAGUCACCGUUUUUGACCAAGAAGGACGACCCAGGAAUGCCAAGCAUCUACUGCUCCAUAAAUGGAUACAACUUCUACAAGACGAUUUGCGACACCGGAUCGGGCGUCAACAUAAUGGCCGCAGUCACCUAUCGGCUCUUGUUCGGGACCAUGCCACUAAGACCAACAUACAUUUAGCUCCAGAUGGCAGAUCAGACAUUUCGAGAAGUUAAAGGAACAGUAUCUGAUGUCCCAGUCAAAAUAGACGAUCACUUUGUCUACACAGACUUUCAAGUUGUUGACAUGGGAGAAGACGAGUAUGAUCCACCCAUCAUCCUUGGAAGACCGUUCCUCAGCACCGUUAAAGCGAUUAUCUACAUUGGAACCGGAGAAGUCCAUAUGCACUUCCCCUCAGAGAAGGUACGCCGUUAUUUUACUGACCCUAACUAUAUCGUUGAAGAAUCUAAGCAGGUCAGAAAUAGACGCAACCGCAACCAGAGGAGGCAGAUCAUCAAGGACGGAUGGGCAGACUAUGAAGGAGAAGUUGUAAGAUCAGAAGACGUAGAGUUUAAACAGAAUUAUCCCGAGGAGAUUGAAGCACCGAGUCAGGUAUGGAAAAUGAAGAUAACUAUACAAGAAGAGGAGGCGCUGCUGGAAGUACCGACUACGCCACCCAACGAACCUCAGGACGAUUAAAGAAAAUGGAGAGUCCCGUUCGGAGGACCUAAAAAUAUCGAACGCCUUGCCAAGAGGUAAACUUGGUAGUUAUCUUUUCCCUUUCAAUUAUUUAAAAUAGUUUACUUAGUUAAUCAUGUUCGUAUUAUCCUAAAAAGAAAAUAAAAAUGUGAAAAAAUAGUAAGCCCCAUGUGAGUAUACGAGUGGCAUAAAACCCAUAAGUACAUUCACUAUGGUGGCAUAAAAAUAAAAUAAAUAUUUUUUCUGCUUUAUAAAACAAAAAUAUAAAAACAGGGAGUAAUAUUUAUCAAGGAGUCUCAAGAUAAUAAAGGCUAGAUAUUUGAUGCUAACACUUAAUUAGUUCCACAAGCUUUGUUGUCUAUUUGAGCUCCACAGAAUUUAAGAAUCAAGAAGACUAGCAGACGGAGGACAUUCUAAUCGCUGUCAGAAUGCUGCUGACUUUCAAAUACACCUCUGCCACCUGUUAGCUACAUCAAGAGAAAUUACGUCAAAAUUCAGCUUGGGGGAGAGCACCCCCAUUUAUCUCGAUAAGUAUUUCUAUCUAUCUUUAUACUUAUAUUAUUUUAGAAUAUUAAAAUACACAUAAACUAUGGGAAAACCAAAUAAAGAUUUUAUGCUUAUAUAUAUAUCUUUUGCUUAGUGUGUUUAAUAAAUAAAUAAAGUGGCUAUGCUAAUCUGUAUCUAAAUAAAUUUAAGCAUGGAUAUGAUAAAUAGUUGCUCUGCCUAAUUUGCAAAUUUUAAGUUCUCUCUCAAGUUUAGAUAUAACUGUUAUAAUUUAAAGCUUGCUCUAGACCUAAACUUGUGGGAUGAAAACUUGAUCUGAAGUUUAAGUUGUUAACGGAUAAGAUAUGGGAAGGUUGAGCUACUGUUUAUCUGUUCCUAGAGAUGCUAGAAUUCUGGAGAAUUUUAUCUUGAAAAUUUUUAAAAUGUUGCAUGAUGAGUUCCUGUAUGAUGAGAGUUUAAAUUCCUACCACAGCCAUAUAUACAUGUUUGCUAGACUUUGAGCCACACAUUUACUAUUUACUGCUUAUGAGCAUUGAGUGUGGUCAAGCUGUGUAGACCCUUAGGAGCUUGUCAUGUGGUUAAAUCAAGAUUUCACUUGCACGUUCACUCAUAUAUGCUACUUCUACUCUGGAAGUACCAUCCACAUAUAUCCAUCCAUUCCAUCUCCAGAACCACCUGGAAAUAUUCUACUCCUAAUCCGGGAGAGAAUAACCAAAAAUAUUUCUGUUUUCCCCUUGUGAAAUAAAUGCUCAAGUUAUCUUGUUACUACCACUUGCUAUAUUAUCUCAAGAGAUGAAUGCUCUAAAAAAAAGGGAAUAAUACGAGGAAAUAAAAAGGAGCAAGUGCUCGGAACCUCGAAAGAAAAGAAAAAGUGAGACGAGAGGUAAAAAUGGACAAGUGUCCGACAGUAGAAUUAGGGGUGCAAGAUACCCACCUGAGAGACAAGAAAAAGAAGAGCAUCUCAUUCUCCUCAUAAAGUUUCAAAAGCAAGGAAGGUAUGUAUCCCCUC